CAAAUUAAAUCCCAGACUGGAAAAUUCUUCCUGGGCAUCAUAUAGUCUGCUUUUCCAAGCCUUAGACUUGGGCAGUAAUCACCGGUACCAUCUCCAAGGUAGAUGAUUUUUUUCCUCCCCUCUAAAGAAGCUUGAAUCCUUUCAAUGAUCAUCCCCUGUUACACAAAGCAGAAGCCAAAAUUAAAAUUGUUGACAUCUUGUUUCAUGAUUGUCAUUAAAUUUAUAUGAUUGUUGACCCAUGUCAAGGUCUUGGGUUUGUUUAUGACCUUACAUGAGCCAUUACUUUAAUAGAUUAAGUGGGGUCAAGAAAAGAAGUUGACAUAUCUAAAAUGAAAAUAGAUUUAAAAAAUAAAGAGAUAAAUAAAAACUCCAAGCAAGUUGGACGAAUUUGACUCUGUACAUGUGGAAUACCAUCAAGUAAUAAAAUUUUCUAGAAAUUUUCACUUAAUAUGAAAAAUCUAGGUCUUCCUACAAAAGUUUGGUGUCUUGAUUUAAAAUAUUUACAAUUGUGAUAUUCAUGAAAUUAAAUCUCAUGUUACUGAUGAAAAACAUAUGAUACCUUGCACAAAUUUGGGGGGCAGAUGUUGCAGCCAUGAGAACUCUUGGUGAAAUCAUGAUAAGGAAUGAUCCUCAGCCUCCCUUCUUCAUCAACAAAGCCGGGGUUGGUAUUGAUCUCUGAGAAAUAUUCCCUCAAUCCAAGAUGCUCCAGCAUUGUCUCAACGAAGAACAUGUUUGCAUCACUCACAAUCCUGAGUUCACACCUGAAAAAAUAUUCAAACCAAUUUGAUCACCCUAUAUUUCUAUUGCUUCAAACUGUAGUUUUUAUAGUCACAGGUCAAACACCAAGAGGAGAAGCAUAGAAAUAACGGAGUACCCUAAAGAAUGAGCUGAUUUAAUAGCGGGCACGAUCCUAGGAUGGAUAGGAGCUCGUUUCAGAACCUCAGCAAUGUCAUCAAUGGUUUUUUCUUGGGCAUGAAGCUCCUUCAUCAUCCUGUCCUGUAAUUUUAUUCCACAAACACUGAGUUUCAUUUUUUAUAAAUGUAAAGCCAACAGAAAGAGAAAUUGCAGAGGGCUUAAUAUGGGUUACCAUGAGAGAAUUCCAGGGCAUGAUAGGAAGAAGCUGGUUGAACAAGUCGGUGAAACCCAAGUCAUCGACAACCCAGUUAUCACUAUCACAGUCGAUGAUGGUUUUGUCAAAAUCAAAAACCACAACAGUUCCAGCCAUCUCUCUGAAUGAAAAUCAAACAAAAUACAAAACAAGAUUGGAAAAACUCAGCAACACUUUGAAUGUUUUCUUGUUGGUAUAGCAGCGUAACAGGGGAUGGGUAUUUAUAUGCAAACAAUGGAUUUUAUUUUAUGCCAAAGGAAUAUUACGUGAAGGGAUUAUUAGGUGUAAGUAGGAAGCAAUAAGUAGGACACAAGAAGCCCUUUUUCCUGCAAGCUUCCUACGCAACACAUACUAAUCUGAUACAACUGCUUGUAAAUUAUUACUCCGGUAUAAGCAAUAUUUACCGUUUGAUGGAUGACUUUUGAACCAUGUGAUUAAUCAAGUUUAGUCAGCGGAUCAGGGGGAAAAAGGUGUAGGUUAAUUAUGAAAGGGAUUAGGUUUAAGGCUUAAGGUUUGUCAAACUCCUCUCCAUUACUCCAUUCGCAUACUUGUGCCUUUACUAGCCUCCUGUUUUUUUGCAAAUCAAUUCCCAAACUGGGAAAUUCUUCCUUGUCAUUACAUAGUCCCCAUCUCCCUUCUUCAAACUUGGACAGAAAUCGCCAAGCUCAUCACCGAGGUAGAUUAUUGUUUUCUUCUCCUCCACGGGCAUGAGAGAGACUUGGAUCCUUCCAAUCAUAAUACCCUAUUAAGAAAGAAUUCAAUCAUUAGUCAGUUGGAUGGGAAGAAAAUGAAGAUAACUUAAAAAUAAUUAUAGCAUAAAAUUAUAUAUCUUACAGCUAAUCAUGCUUUGGAUUCAUUACGUUUACUAAACAUUAGAAUUCAGUGGCGGAUGCAUAUGGUAUAGUCGGGUAUUCAUGUACACCUCCAAAGGUUGGAAAAUAAAAAUGUUUUCUUCGGACACCUUCAAAUUUUCUUUUUGAACAUAUCUUUCUUAAUUCCUUAUUCUUCAAUCCUUCAUUCACUGCCACUAUCUAAUAUCCAAUCACAUCUCACAGUUAGUUAAUGCCCAACACACCUCCAUAAAAAAAAUCUUGCAUCCGCUACUGUUAGAAUUCAGUAAUAUUUCACGCAUGAAUGCAUGAUUCAUGUUAAAAAUGAUAUACCUUGCACAUGUUUGGAGGGCAGGGAUGAUGAAAUCCAUGAGUAGAUUGAGUGAAAUCAUGGUUAGGCAAGAUCCAUAGCCUGCCUUCUUCAUUUACCAAACCUGGGUUGGUAUUGAUCUCUGAAAAGCAUUCCCUCAGGCCAUGAUGCUUCAAAAUUGUGUCGAUGAAGAACACGUUCGCAUAACAUACAAUCUUCAAAUCUCACCUGAAAUUAAUAAUGCCAUACUAGUAUUUUUUUUUUUCUAGCGAGAAAACCAGAAAGAAACUUUAAAUAUACAUGCCGGCCGGAUUGUAGUUGGCGGGAAGGAAACUCCUAAAGCUAAGAAAUGUUGCCAGAGAGCUUAUAAAGUGUAUGGUCUUGCGACGGAGGAAUAAUAUCACAGGCUGCAAUCCCUGAGAAUGCAACUGUGGCAUCUGCUCUCUCGACAAACGAUUGGAUGCAAUAUCUCACUUCUUCUCUACUGAUGAGGGAUAUGCAGCAGAUGUCGGCUGGUCUGAUCUUUACUGAACAAGAAGAUGUUGUUUGGCAGGCAUCAAAGUCUAGCAAGUUCUUACUUUCAAAUACAUGGGACUGGAUCAGGGAAAGGCAACCCACUGUGGUUUGCCAUAAACUGGUCUGGAUUCCUCUUCACUCACCAAACAUAGUUUUAUCACUUGGCUUAAGGUUCUUAGUAGAUUGAGCACAGUAGCUAAUAUUAGGAGUUGAUGUACUCAAAUGUCACUAGGGAUCAUCUUUUCCUUUCUUGUGACUUCUCAAAGCAAGUUUGGCAAUUAGUUUUAGCAAAAGUGAAGUGUGUUUUUUAUUGCAAUAUCCAAAAAUGACAGCAGGAGCUCGAUUGGAUUAUUAUAGGUGAAACUUUUUAGACUAUGAUUCUGAGAGGAGUGUGAACAAGUAUAAAUAUAUCACAUUUGGCAUGCGAGGAAUUCUCCAAAACUUGGUAUUUGUUCUCUAAACAUUGACAAAUACUUUGCUAGACAUUAGUUUUAAUGUAAAGUUUUGCCUCUUAAAAUUUGUAAAAAAUAUGAAUAAUCCAUCUAUUAGCUCUGUAUGUAAAAAUUGAGGGCCGGGAUUGUAUAGGCAAUGCUAAAGCUCAUUGUUUGAUUUGUUGACUGGUGGCCUCCUACUUCUUUGGAUCAAUGAAAUACCAUUUAUGAAAAAAAAAAAAACUAAAUAUACACGAACAGAGAGAAAAAUGUAUGCAUAGCGCAAAGCAUGAGCCGAUUUAAUGGCUUUGAUGAUUCGGGGAUGCAUCGCAGUUGUUUGUAUAACAGCUACAAUGUCAUCAAUUUUUAUUCCUUACGAAUGAAGUUUUUUCAUCAUUAGAUCCUGUUUUGUAAAUAAAAAAAUAAACCCUGGUUCUUACAUUUGGAAAAGAAGGAAAAAGAAAAACAUAAAUUAAAAGACUAACCAUAAGAGAGUUCCAAGGCAUGUAGGGACGAGUUGAUUGAACAACUAUGUAGCACGUCAGAGAUCUAAGACAUUUGAAAUUCAAGUUAAUUGAUUUAUGAAAUUAUUUUUAAGAGUUGAUAUCUAGAGACUUAAAUCUCAACAUUUACAAUCAUUUCUCAUAUUCUCAAAUGGACUCCUUAAUAAAAAAAAAUGUCUAUAAUAAGAAAUUAAUUAUGUUUAAUUUGUUUGAAUUGUCAAGCUACUUUAUUCUAAGUUUUAAAAUUUUUUACUUUUUUAAAAAUAUGUUUAGAUUUUAAGUUAUAUAAUCAGAAACAAGUAAUUUAUAAUCAUAUUUCACAUAAAAAUCAUUUCUAGUUUAUAAGAUUUAAAUUUAAAUUAUAAUUUCAAAUUCUUUCUAAAAAUUAGAUCAUGUAAAAUCAAGAUAUAUUUAAAUUUAUGCUUUAUUCUGAUUCUUAAUCUCUUUAUUAUUAGAAUAAUUAAUCUACAUAAGUAUCUACAUAUAUAUUCAUAUCCAUAAUGUGUUUCUAUAAAAGUGAGAAAAUUUCUCCUCAAGAAGAAUCAAAGCAUGUAAGGAAUAUUGAACCUUUGGAAUUUGCCUAGUACAAGCAGAUAGAGAAGCAUUUCUACAGAAGCUGUAUAACAUGAGUGGGGUUUAAAAGAAUAAAAAGUUAGACAAAUAAAUUAAAUAGGUUCGGGUUUUGUUUUAAUAAUUAUAUUUAUUUACGCUAUAGUCAAGUACGUGCAAAACAUUAGUUUAAAAUUUAAUUCAGUUAACUUAUAAAAUUAUUUUUAAAAAUUAGUAUUCAAUUAAAAUUUAAAUUUCAAUACAUGUGUUAUCUUCUUUUAUUCCAUGUAAUCUUUUCUAAUAAAAAAUUAAGUCAUGUAAAGUUUUUUGUUAAUUUUUUAUUAUUUGUUAAUCUACCUAUUCUACAGUAUAUGAUUAAUUUAAUAACCACCACUCCACUUAAUUAAUCUUAACCUUGCAAUUAAAGAAGUAAAACUUUUCCAUUGAUAGGAACUUAAGUAACUUCUUGGUCAUGGAAAUAGCAAUCUCCAUAUUGAAAUGUAAAUCAUGAAAUUAAAUCAUUAAUCCUACUACACAAUUCGUCCAAUAGAAACUAAUCUAAUUUGAACAUAUAUGUAAAUUUGAGUAUAUGUGCAAAAACAAUAGGCGGACGAUUCUUAAGUGAUGAAAAAUUUAGAUAAUUUGAAACUAAACUCUAGUAGGUCAUGUAUAUAGUUGUUUUCGGAGAAGGUAUUCAAUAAGUUUAAGGUUUAAAUCUCAACACUUUCUUUCAUUUCAAAAUUACGAUCUCUUUUGUAACAAAAAAAAAAACUAGAAAUAAUCUUUUAUUUGUAACUUUAAACUGGUGAAUUUAAAUAACAAUAAAAAAAGACAACAAAAGGAAGUUCAUUUGCUCCUCAAAUAAAAUGAUUUGAAAUAGCUAUCAGAUAUAUGGGAAGGUAUGAAUCGGUCUAGAUAGUUAGCCUUUUGUGAAAAGUAUGGUCAUAUUACACAUCUCCUUUCAAUGGUAGUUGAACAUUCCCUCAUCAGAGUAGCAGUGCAAUUAUGGGAUCCUUCAUAUAGUGCUUCAUCUUCAAUAAGGUUGACAUGACACCAACUAUAGAGGAGUAUUUUACAUUGAUGAGUUUGCAUCUCCAAUUACUAGAUAAGAUAUAUGUUAGAAGGCAAAAAUCAACAUUUCGUAAAAAACUCAUAGAUAUCAUGGAGUCAAAAAGGAAGAUGUAAAUGUAUAGAUUUAAGAAAGAAAUGACCAUAUUUGUCUGCUUUGAGAGUUUUUUCAUAAUUUCAUCACAAAGCAUCUGAAUGAUGAUCAAGGGUUGGAUAUAUUUGCUUUAGCCAUAUAUGGCAUGGUAGUUUUUCCUAGAAUUUUAAGUCAUAUUGAUAUAGAAGUGAUUGAUUUUUUGUAGCAUGUGGAAAAAGGUUGCAAUCCCUCUUCUACAAGCUUAGUUGAAACAAUUAUAUCGCUGAAUUAUUUACAUCAAAAAGGCAAAGGGCACUUUGUUGGAUGUAUGCCAUUAUUAUAUUUGUCAAUGAAGAGUCACUUUAUGUGUAAGAAGAAUGCAUUUUCCAAAAUCUACUUUCGUAAUAGAGCUUCAAUUAAGCAAUUUUGUAAGAAUGAAUGGCCAAAGCCCAAAGUUAAGGAGGAAUGGAUGGUCCUGCUACAAGGUCUUAUUUGCACCCAAGUGAAAUGGUUAGUUCUAUGAAUGGAUCAUGAACUGAUGUUAUAUCCAUAUAAAGAUGAAAUAGGGGUCCCACUUCUAGGUUUAUAUAGAGCAACAAGUUAUAUAUCGCUUAUGGUUUGAAAGUAAUUUGAGGCUAAGUAGUUCAUUCUUAUGACAUACAAACUCACUCAAUCAGAUUUUUUACAUAGUGUGUUAAAAUUACUACAAAAGGUGGAUAAUGUGAUCAAGGCAUGGAAGAAGCCCAAAAGAGUGAAUCCUUGGUUAGCUAUUGACAAAGUCACUUAUAAGUAUUUGGUGUGGAAAGCCAAGAGAGGUAAGUAGGUUGUGUUUACACUCAAAGAUCAUUGCCAACCAGUGAAUUAGGAGUUGGAUGAGAUACCUUCAGAGUUAGAGUUUGUAAGGAAAGAAUUUAAAGCUAAGAAAGACAAGAUAAAAUAAGAGAUUCAAUGGCUUUAAGAAGAGGAAAGCAAUGGAAAGACAAGGUAGAAAAGCUAGAAGUUAGAGUCCACAAGAUCUCUAAUGAGCGUGAUACAAAAGUUAAUAAUUUGGCCAAACUUCAUCAAUAACAUAAGAAGUUAGAAUUUGAAUGUAAAGCCUAAAAUGAUGUUAGAAAACAUGACAAUGACUUUAAGGAGAUAAUGGAAUUACAUUAAAAGUAUAAAAGAUUACAUAUCCAAGUGAAGGCUAAAGAAAUAAAUAUCAUUAAUUUGAUUUUUUAGAAGGAAAAGUUGAAUAGAGAAUAUUCCCAAAUGGAGGAUAAUUGUGUUGAAGCCCAAAAGGAGAAUGAGAUGCUUAGAAGGUAUAUUUAGACAUUGAAGUAAAAGUUGAAUGAACAAAGAGGUCAGAUCAUGGUACUCACAAAAGAGCAUAGAGAGCUAUUUUACCAAGUAUGAUUUGGCAAAAAAAAAAGUCUGAGAAGGUAAAAAUACAUAGAGCAUCUUGCAACCUAAAUAAGUAAAGUAGUGAUCGGGGUAAGGGAAAUGGUUUAAGAGACUGAUGCAUUGAGAAUAAUGGUUACACCAAUAGAAGAACAUGGAUAACAUUUAUUAAACUUCAUUAAAGAGUUUAAGGAUCAGUAUAAGCAAAUUAAAUGUUUUUACAAGUAAGAAUAAUAGACUUAGUGUAAAACAAACUUUUAUGGAAUAAAUGAAAGUUCACUUGUGUUGAAAAUUUUUAAAGAAGCAAAUAUUUUCUUUGUUUCUUUUUUAUACAUUGCAUUCAUUCAUACAUAAUUAAAAUCUUAAUCGUGGCAAUCCAUAAUAAGACCAUUAAUUUAAGGUUAUGGUAUACAAAGUUCAAGGAUACAUCAAACACUAGUGCAACAUCAGAGCUCAAGCUAGAAUAAUUGAACAAGAUAAUGCAAGUCGUGUUGAGAAAUUACAAAAAGCUCAAGAGAAAAUCAAGGGAGAAUUGAGCAAAAUCUUUAAAGCUUUGACUAAGCUAAAUAAGAGAAAUACAAUAAAAGAAGACAUUUUAUAUGAAGUUACUGAUCUUUUGUAUUCUUUGAGUUAUGGCCUGUACCAAGCCCAAUCUACUCAAAGCUUCCCACCAUAACAGCUCACAUUGAUACAAGCUAUAUUUAUUUAGAAAUGCCACCUGCACUGACAACAGAGUAUCUAUAAAAUCAUACAACUUGGACUGAGACUAAGAUAGACUUAUCCAAAAAUAAGAUGGACAUAUCCUUGGUCCAAAUCCACAAAGUAAAUGCAAAAAUAAGGUAGACUAUACUAGGAAGGUUGUAUUCACACUAGUUAGAGUAGAAGAGGAUGAAUAUAGAUAAGAUUAUGGUCAAAUUCAUUAUUAUGUAAUUUGCAGGAGUAAAAUAGUUCAUAUGCAAAUCAUUUUAUUUUAGGCAUGAUUCUAGCAAUACAAUCUGAAAGUUCCCAUGCUUGAAGGGAUAUUCCUAGCCUAUAUAUUUUUUAUUAUUCUUUGGUAGAAGGCAAAAUAGAGUUUUCUUUAUCCUUAAGCAAUCUUUUAGAUUGUUUUUCAAGUUUUGUAUCUUUUAGGUGGAUUUCCUAGAAUGGUGAACUUUUAUUAUUCUGUAUCUUUGAUUGGAAUUCUUAUGGUGGUAUUUUUAUAUCCCUUAAUUGCUAGUUUUGGUGAUGAACUUUUAUCCCUUUUAAUCCAAUAAUCAUAUUUUGUCAUUAUUCAAAUCCUUGUGAGUUAUUUUCUUUAUGAGUUUUUUUAUUUAUAGUUAAUCUCCACAUCUUAAACAUCAAUUCUUAGCAUCAAAUUGGUAUCAAAGCUAUUGCAGGUUAUCGUCAUCAAGCAUAAGUAGAAGAGGUUAAAGCCAACACCGAUGUUGUAACAACUAUUAAUAUUGACUACUCAUAGAGGAGAUGCAGCAACAGAUCCUUCAACUAUAACAUCAACUAUAUAUACAAAAAGAAAGAGUGGAGAUAAAGAGGUAAUAAAAGAGAAAUGAAAAAGAUGAAGGAGAAACCAAUCCAUACCUUAGAAAUAAUAAUGAUUUUAAUGAUAGCAUCCUCUAUCACCUACGGUAAGUCAGAAAGUAUUUAAGCAGAAACCAAUUUCAAAUUAGCAUAUUCAAUCUGAAGAUAGAGAUUCUUGAGUUUAAGAGAAAAACGCAACCUGAAGAAUUCUUAGAUUGGCUAUACACAGUGGAACACAUAUUUAAAUAUCAUGAUGCCCUUUAACAUUGCAAGGUAAAGCUAGUGGCCAUCAAACUUAAAAAACAUGCAUCUUUCUAGUGAAAAAAUUCGAAAAAGCAAAGGGAAAAAAAGUAAGAGAAAAAUUAUAACUUGAGAGAAAAUGAAAAUAGUUGAAAAAAAAAAUAUCUCCCAGACAACUUUUGGCAAGAUGUCUUUCUUAGGCUUUAUAACUUGAAGCAAAGAGAUCUGUUAGUGAAAGAGUAUACUGCUAAGUUUGAUCACCUUAUGUUACAAUACGAAUUAAUGGAAUAAAAGGAGCAGACUAUUACCCAAUAUCUUAGAGGAUUGAAGAUUGAGAUAGCUAAUGUGGUACAGCUACAACCCUAUUAGACUUUCAAUGAUGUAUGCAAGCUUGCCCUUAAGUUGGAGAGACAACAAAAAGAGGCCUAUGAUAGCAAUUUAAGAUUUAGGUUUCGAAAAAGCAAGCCUUUGUCUAGUGCACAAGCUAGAAGGUGUUUUAAAUGUCAAAGGCUUAGACACAUUGCCUCAGAAUGCCCAAACAGAAAGAUUAUAAAUCUAGUAGAGGAAGACUUAGAGAAAAAAAGAAAAUAAGCUGGCAGAAAAGGAUUAAAAGCUUAAAGAGGAGGAAGAGGUAACUUAUGGCUAUUGUAAAGCAUCAUUAGUCAUACAAUACAACUUGAGUAUCGCACCUGCUAAGAAAAAAGAUUAGUUAUGUAAAAACAUAUUUCACACUCGUUACACUACCCAUGCGAAGGUAUGUGAUGUUAUAAUUGAUAGUGAAAGUUAUGAAAAUGUUGUUUCUACCUUUAUGGUACAAAAAAUAGGCCUCAAAGUAAUGGAUCACCUCUAACUAUAUAAGCUGUAUUGGCUACAAAAAGAGAAUGAAAUGAAGGUUAGCAAAAGGUGUUUGGUUCUUUGUUCCAUAAGAAAGUAAUAUAAAAAUGAAGUGUGGUGUGAUAUAACUUCAAUGGAUGCUUGCCAUUUACUGCUUGAAAGACCUUGGCAUUAUGAUAAAAGGGUUAUUUAUGAUGAUUACUGCAACACUUAUACAUUUGUGAAUGAUGGAUGCAAAAUCAUCUUAGGCCUUACCAAGCUCAUGGUGAUGUCAAAACCAACCAAAAAGAAAAAAAAACAGCUUGUUUACCAUGGCCAAUUACAGAAAAAAAUUAAGAUGGCCAAUACUAUAUACGUACUAGUAUUGAUUGAGAAGAAUAAGAUAGUGAGGAGAAUAAGAUAGUGAAGAGCCCUUAUAGUACCAUUGUUGGUAGAAUUUCAAGAUGUUGUUUAAGAAGAGUUAUCAGUUGGUUUACCAUUAAUGAGGGAUAUUCAACACUACAUAGACCUUAUCCUAAGAGCUAUUUUACCCAACAAGGCAAAACUUUUCUUGAAGAGUUACAUGGAAAGGAAAUUAAUGAGAACUUGUUUUACUAUAGGUGGAGUUUGCCUACAAUUAUUCACCAAGUCAAACUAUUGGUUAUAGCCCUUUUGAAAUUACUCUUAGUAAGAAAACAAUCUGGCCUUUAGUUUUAAGUCAACGUUAUACUAAUCAACAUUUUGAUGAAGAUGUAGAAAAAAAAGUCAAGAGUAUCAAAAUAUUUCAUGUAUAGGUUUAAAAUAGAAUUUUGUAAAAAAAUAAGAAAUAUAAAAGGGAAAUAAUCAUGCAUCGAAGACAUGUGAAGUUUAAAGAACAUGAUUUGGUGUGGAUUUACUUGCAAAAAGAAAGAUUUUCCCCAAAAAAGUUUGGCAAAUUACAACUUAAGGUAGACGGUCCAUUUAGAGUUAUCCAACGAAUUAGGGAAAAUGCCUACAAGAUACAGCUUUCGAACACUUAUAAAGUAUCUUUCACCUUUAAUGUUGUUGAUUUGUCACCUUAUCAUAGCAAGAAUACUAGUUUAGACUUGAAAACAAGUCUUUUUCAACCAAAGGAUAUUGACACUAAAGUAUCUACACAUCUUACAACUUAGACUGGGACUAAGGUAAACUUAUCCAAAAAUAAGAUAGGCCUAUCCUUGGUCCAAAUCCACUAAGUAAAUGGAAAAAUACACUAGCUAGAGAAGAAGAGCAUGAAUAUGGAUGGGAUUAUGGUUAGAUUCAUUAUUAUGUAAUAUGCAGAAGUAAAUGAGUUCACUUACAUAUCUCUUAAUUUUAGGCAUGAUUUUAGUAAUACAAUUUGAAAGUUCUCAUGCUUGGAGGGAUAUUCCUAGCCUAUAUAUUUUAUAUUAUUUUUUGAUAGAAGGUAGAAUAGAGUUUUCUUUAUCCUUAAAUAAUCUUUUAGAUUUUUCUUCAAGUUAUGUAUUUUUUAGAUGGACUUCUUAGAGUAGUGAACUUCUAUUAUUCUGUAUCCUUGAUUAGAAUUCUUAGAAUAAUAUUUCUGUAUCCCUUAGUUCUAGUCUUUGUGGUGAAUUUUUAUUCCUUUUAAUCUAAUAAUCGUAUUCUAUCAUUAUUCAAAUUCUUGUAAAUUGUUUUUAAUGAGUUUUUUUUUGUUUGCAAUUAAUCUCCACAUCUCAAACAUCAAUUCCCGGCAUCAUGCACCCAACCAAGGGAAUAUCCAAAGUUAUAUCAACCUUAUCUUCACUAAAAAGGUAGUUAAACCGAUCUAAGUUCUCAAUUUGAACGAUCUAAAAGAAAAACUAAAAUUAAAGAUGGUUGAGUCUUUAGAGGACUCUAAAACUAAUUAAAUGAUGAAAAUGCUAGAUGAGAGAUUAAAAGUUAUGAAAAGUAUUGAUUUUUAAGGUACUAAAGUUUGAGAAAUAUGACGAUACGAAAUAUCCCAUCAUGCAUGUUACGAUGUUCUGUUGUAAAAUGGUAGCUUACGCUAGUAAUGGAAAAUUACUCAUGCAUGUAUUCCGAGAUAAUUUAGCUGGUUUUGCUGUGAAGUGAUAUGUUAAGUUAGACAAAACUCAUACCCAAUCAUGGAAAAAUCUAACUCACUUUUUUCUUAACCAAUACCGUUAUAUCAUAUAUAUGGCUUUCGAUUGCCUUUCUUUACAAAAUAUAAAAAAAAAUGACUGAGUUUAAGGAAUAUGCCCAUAUAUGGCAAGAUAUAAUUGUUCAGGUCCAACUACCCUUAACCAAGAAAGAGACAACGGUUCUAUUUUUCAGCACUUUGAAAUCAUCCUAUUAUGAAAAGAUGAUAAGGAACGUGACUAAAAAUUUUGUUGAUAUGAUGAUUUCAGGCGAGAUAAUUGAAAAUGCCAUUAAGAAUGGCAAGGUUGAAAGAGGAGAGUCAUCAUGGCCAAGAGGAUGCCUAAGAAAAAGGAAAGUGAAACUUAAGCUAUGAGUUUCAAAAGGUAACAAUUCAGAAAUUAUACUCUUUACCCACAACCCAUUUAUCCUACAUACUAUUCCACCAAAAAUAAUGCUUUAACUUUUCAUACGAACUAGUUUCACAACUUUCUUAUCUUUUCACCUAUCAACCAGCAUUUAGACCACCCACCAAUGCAUACAACCCUAAUACCUCUCUACUAUAAGGCUUUUCAUGAGCCCAUCUAACCCAAUAAGUGGUCUAAAAAACCAUGAAAUAAUCGAAAGAAGCUUAUGUUUUGCCCUAUUCCCAUAAUUUAUAAGAAGUUGUAUAAAAAACUUUACAAUAAUCAUUUUAUUGCUCUUCUUUAUAUAAAUCCAUUUAAAUCUUUUUAUCUUAAAUGGUACAAUCCUACUGUUCAUUAUGAUUACCAUUAUGGAAUCAUAGGUCAUUUCAUUGAAAAUUACAUUACUUUGAAACACAAGGUACAAAAUUUAAUCAAAGAUAGGUUGAUUAACUUUGACACCAGUGAAAAUAACAUCCGAUGUUAGUGGUAAUCUAUUGCCCAAUCACACCGUAAAUGUUUUAAAUGAAGAUAAAAGACGUUGUAUGAAAAAGAGAGUAGAGGAGAUCAAAAGUCCAUUUAGUAGAUUGUAUGAUACUCUAUAUGAGGUUGGGAUGGUACAAUCAGUGGACCCACACAUUUACCAUAGGAGAUGCAUCCUAAAUCAAAGGUGUAAGUACCAUAGUGGGACUUUGGGUCAUUCUAUUGAGACUUGCAAUCAAUUUUAAGACAAGUUAUAGAAGUUGAUGGAUUCCUAUCAAAUUGAGCUAUAUGAAGAGGGAGAAACCUCGAGAAGUACUAAGGUGUCUAUGACUAAUAAGUCAAAGUGGGUACCAAAAUCAAUAACUACUUAUGGUGGUGAAAAGUCAAAAUCAAUUAUAGACAAGCUUGUCCAUAAGUUGUUACCUUCAAAGUCCAAAGCCCAUUCCCAUAUAAGGAUGAAAAGGUUAUACCGUGGAAAUAUGAUUGUGAAGUGAUAAUCCAAGGACAAGAGGAGACCAUACCCAAGCCAAACAUCACCAACAUAACUAGUGUAGGUGAUAUAACUAGAACUGGAAGGUGCUAUACUCUGAAGAUGGUGGAAAGGGCAAGAAAAAAAAUCAAUAAUGAUAGGAAAACAAGCUGAUCUGAAGGAUAGUUUCAAAAAAGACAAUCCAAGACCAUUGUUUGAAAAAAAAGCCUACGAGUUCUUGAAGCUCGUAAAACAUAAAGAAUAUUCCAUGGUCGAGCAACUAAACAAGAUGGUAGCUAGGAUCUCUUUAUUAUCAUUAUUAUUAAAUUUAGAACUGUAUCAUGAUGUCAUAUUAAAGGUGUUAAACCAAGCUUAUAUGGCCCACAAUCUAUUAAUAGAAUAUGUGAACCAUUUGGCUAGGAACCUAGUGGUGCCACAUUAUACAGCCUUUAACGAUGCGAAAUCCUAUCAAAAGGAAAAGGAAGCAUAAAGGUCUUGCACAUUAUUGUCGAAUGCAAGAGUCACAUAAUAGCCAAAGUGUUUAUUGACAAUGGCUCUAUUAUUAAUGUUAUGCCUAUAUCUAUUUUAGCGAGGUUGCCCAUUGAUGUGUCCUAUACAAAAAACAACUGUAUGGUUGUUUAAGCUUUUGAUAGGACUAGGUGUAAAGUAUUAUGAGACAUUGAAACGCAUUUAUAAAUUGGGCCUUGCACAUUUAAUGUAAAAUUCUAGGUUAUGGACAUCUCACCUUCUUAUAGUUAUUUGUUAGAUAAGCCAUGGAUUCACAUGGCAGAUAUUGUUCCCUCCUCUUUACACUAGAAAGUUAAGUUUAAUAUAGAAGGAUAAUUGGAGAUCAUGGUUAAAAAAAAGGAUUUGUAAGUAACUCAGUCCAUGAACAUUUCUUAUGUAAGGCUACGAAAAAAUCAUUGGAGUGUUCCUAUCAAUCCUUCAAGCUUGUCAAUACUAUGGGCAAGGGGUCUAAAUUACACUAACCAGAUUUCACUAGAAUUGUGGUUAGCUAGAUUAUCAAAAAAGGUUGGUAUCCUAGAGUUUGGUUGGAUAAAAUUUUGCAAGGACUAAAAAAGCCUCCAACGAUAAUAGAUAAUAGCAAAAGAUUGGGCUUGGGAUAUGAAGUAAAGAAAUAGGAAAUAAAGAUGAUGAAAAACAACCGAAAAGGAAAAAUGAUAGCGAGGAAUAUACUUGUCAUAAUAUAUAGAUUCAUAAAUCUAUAGUUAUACUUAACAAGAAGAGUCGCCACCAAUCUUUUUUUCUAUGUGUGAUUGGUCACCUAAUGAAUCUACCAUUUUAAAAAGCUUAUAAGCUUGACUAAGGCUCCCUAAAGAAUAGGUUCUGACCUUCUAAAUAGAAUUAGGUUUGAGACUUUAAUUAUUUAUGAAAAAAGUUAUAGCACCACCACAACGCCUAUCUUAAGAUGAUACUAUUUAAUUUUAAAUUAUCUUAACAAUUAUCCUAGUUCUAAAGGUUUUUAUUUUAAUGUUUAAAUAUUGGAAAUGAAUUCUAAGAUUUCUCCAUCAAUUUGAUAGAAUUCUUAAAAAUACUUCCUCACCUCAAGAGUAUAUAAGAAUCUCAUUUGUUUUCUUACAAAAGUUUUAUCGUCGAAAAAAUGUUUAAUCAUUUUUAUUUUAAUUUUUUUAUUAAAAAUAUAUCUAAUUAUUCCAGUAUUUAGAUCAAAUUAGAAAUAUCUUCUCACCUAGAACUUUCUUAAAUGAUCAACCAUUUGCAAUUACUAAGAAUUUCCUCAUCGGGAUUUAUUUUUAUUUUUAAUUUCUAAAUAUUUCACUAUUUAGGUCUAUUUAGAAAAUUUUUUUUUAUUUUUGGAAAGAACAUAAUAUAACAAUUAUUUUUUAAAUUUUCAUUUUAAUUCUUUCAUCAUUUGAAAUAAAUUUAAAGAAAAUUUCUCACCUAGAAAUUUUUUAAGAAUUUUACCAUUUGAAAUUUCUAAGUUCUCAACCUUGGAUAAUUGUCAAAUAUUUUUAACCAAAAUUUUUUAUUUGGAAAAGAAUACAAUUACCUUUAUUAAAAUUUUAUUUAAAUUAUUUUACCAUUUGAAACAAAUUUAGAGAAACUUCUCACCUAAAGAUUUCUUAGAGAAUUUACCAUUUAAAUUUCUACUAAUCUCAUCUUUGGGCAAUUAAUAUUUAAUUCCAAAAUUUUUUUAAAUUUUAUUUUUUUAUUUUGAAUUGAAAAUAAAUAUUUAUUAUUUUUAUUAUUUUUAUUGAAACUUUAUCUAAAUUUUUCUACCAUUUGGGACAAAUUUAGAAAAAAUUUCUCACCUAAGAAUUUUAUAGAAAUUUACCAUUUAUAGUUUCUAAAAAUUUCAUCAUUGGAUAAUUAUUAUUUAUUCUUUAAAAAAUUAUUAAUGUUUUAUUUUAUUUUUUUAUUACUUCUUUUAACUUUUUUUUAAAAUUUAAUUAAGCAAAAAUGCUUUCAAAAUAAAUAAACAAAAUAAAUAAAUAAAAUAAAAACAGCAAAACAGGAAUCGACUUGGCUUGGUUGUUGUGUAUGGCUAGGCUGUAAGCACGAAACUGGCUAAAAAGACUUGGAAAGUGACUUAACUUGGCUUAGUUGUUGGUUGCUGGAUUCUGGGAUUAACCACCAGAAUAUGAGUAAUUACAUUAGAAUUUUACCCUCAAUUGUUGUCAAACCCUUACUCUUACUUUCUCUUCUAUUUUUUUUUUUCAAUUGCUCUUUGAUUGUUGUCUUUUUGUUCUUUGAUUUAAAGGUCUAUUUAUAAGGUACAAUAUGGAGAAUUUCAUAUUGAUUCCAACUUAAAAAUUAGGAUUAUCAUGAAAAAAUAAAAUUUAUCUUUGAAAAGUUUAACUUCAAAUUUAAUCAUGAUAAAACUACAAUUAAAGAUAAACAACAAAUAAGCAAGAUAAAAUAAGUAAUAAAAUAAAAUAAAAAAGAUAAAUAAAAAAUAUAUAUAGAUAAAUAAAGUAAAAACAUAAUUUUGACAAUUAAACUUGGAUCAAAUCUGAGCCUAAUUGAUUUGGGCAUUUGGCCUUGAAAUUGAAUCAGACUUAGUUAAUUUAGACCUCGAACUAAAUUGGGUAUCUACAGUUGCCCCUCUUUCCUCAUUUUCUGUGCAAUAGGAAUUGUGCAACAAUAUAGAUAUUCAUUACAUCUAGAUAUAGCUUAACAACAAUUAUAAAAUCUCAAAACUCCAAAGAUUCACAAUUUGAAAUAUUCAAGAACUUCACAAUUAGACAAUUAGUAACGCAAGUUGAAACUCAAAGAUUCACAAUUUAAGUUCAAAAAAUCACCAUUUUGAAAUUCAAAGGUUCACAAUUCAAUGAUUAGCAAGGUUCAGUUUCCCAAGAAUUUGAUUCACACGGAUUUUCAAAUUCUCAAAAUUUCUAAUUCGCAAGGAUUUUUAGAUUUGCAAGAAUUUGAUUAUCAAAAUUUCAAUUUCACAAGGUUUUUUAGCUUAACAAGAUUUUUCAACCUCACAAGAAUUUAGAUUCACAUGAAUUUGAUUCUCAAAAUUUCAGUUUCACAAGGAUUUAGAUUCACAAAAUUUUAAAUUCGCAAGAUUUUUCAGUUUCACAAGAUUUCAGAUUUGCAAGAACUUAGAUUCACAAAAACUCAUAUUCAUAAAAUUUUAGAUUCAUAAGAACUUAGAUUCACAUUUGAGAGAUUCACAUCCAAAGUUCAAUUCAAGGAUUUGCAUCAAAAUUGCAAGACUCACAUACAACAUUUAAAGAUUCACAUUAUUCUAGAGAUUCACACCCAAAAGUUUAAAGAUUUUUAUUUAAAAAAGUUUAGGAAUUCAUUUCUAAGAUUUCAAAGUUUUUCAUUCGAUUUCCAAGAUUCACAUUUGAUAAAUUUUAGAGUUUCACAUCUAUAUUCAAAGGUUCUCAUUCAAAACAAAAAAUUAGGGGUUCACAUCUAAAAAUUUGAAAGCUUCUUAUUUGAGUUCAAAGAUUUACAUUCAAUAAAUUUUUGAGUUUCAUAUCUAAAUUCAAAGGUUAUUAUUAAAAAAUUUCGAGGUUCACAUUCAAAAUUUUUAAAGCUUCUCAUUCGAGUUCAAAGAUUCACAUUCGAUUGAUUUUAGAGUUUCACAUCUAAUUUAAAGUUUCUCAUUUAAAAAAAAUUUGGGGUUCAUAUCCAAAAGUUUCAAGCUUCUUAUUCAAGUUCAAAGGUUCACAUUCGAUUGAUUUUAAAGUUUUACAUCUAAAUUCAAAGGUUCUCAUUUAAAACUCAAAGAUUCUUACUUAAAACUUAAAGUUUCUCAUUUAAAACUUCUCAAAGAUUCUAAUUUAAAACUCUUUAAAGUUUUUCAUUAUUUUUAACUUUAAAAAUACUCCAUUAAAAGGCUCCAUAACUUUAAAAUUCUAAGUGUUCUCUUCAUAAAACAUUUUUCCAUUUAAAGAUUCUCAAAUUUAUAAAAAUUAUCAAUCUUUUAUCAAAGUCAAAACUUUGUAUAUAAAGAAUGUCAUGAUUAUGAUGCAAAUGAAACAAUCUAGAUUCUCUCAAUAAUGUAGACGCCAUAUUUUAAACCAUAAUUCAAAUGUCUACUACAUGAGGCAAAUGCAUGGCCAGCCAAGAUUCAAAUAUUCACCAGAUUAUAUACAUGUAUUCUUCAAAUAACGAUGCAAACACAAUGCUUGGAAUGCAAAUAUCAAUGUCAUGAAAUUCUUACUUAAUUGUGGUAAUAAGGUUCUUAAGACUCCACCAUCUCAUCUUUUCUCUUUUUAGUAUCUUGGCACUAAUUAUUUUAGAAUAAAUUCUAUCAAUUGAUCCACAUUAUUUUCACCAUUUGAUCACGGCUCAAAGGGUUCACAGCACUAGCAAUUUUAAAACAAAUUUUGUUUAUUGAUUCACAUUAUUUCCAUCACUUGAUCACAAUUCAUAGGUUAUGUCGAUCGAUCCAUUACCAUAUUCAUCACUUGAUCAUCCCAUGUGUCUUUCAAAUCAUCUUUUUAAGCUUUUUUCAUCUUUUUAUUUUCAUUUUUUUUGCCUUCUAGACUUCUUUUUAAAGGAAUACAUGAAUCUUUUCUAAAUAUUAUCAUUCAUUCAUUAUCAUUUCAAUUUUAGACAAAUAUAAUGCAAUCAUAUAUUUUCUUAAUUUAUUUUGAGGAUGCAAAAAUAAGAGAGUACAAGGUGAAUUACGAGAAAGGUAAUCAAUAUAAGAAUGAGUCUGGUACAAAAAUAAAUGGGCAAAGAAAAAAAUUCAAAACAUAUCACUAGGGAUGAUAUUGAAUGGUACAACAAUGUCCAAACAACGAAUACUCAAACAAUUCUUAACAUGAAUCAAAAAUUCUUUUCCAAAAACUCAUUCCAUUGUUUUUCAAAAUUAUAUGAAGCUUAUUGAACAUUGCCCCAGCCUUAAGGGAUUUUUAGAUGUCUUUGAUCUUUCAUAUAUUUGAAUUGUUUAUCUAACUUUCAGUUCAAAUGUUUUUUUACACAAAUCGCCCUUUCAGGUUUUCAAUUUAAGUUUUCCUUUUCUCUCGUUUUACAUUUUUUCAUUUUUUUCAUUUUCAUUUUUUCCUUUCAUUUUUUUUAUUUUUUAAUUUCUCAUUUUUUAUUUUUUUCUUUUCUCAUUUUUUAUUUUUUUCUUUUCUCAUUUUUCAUCCAUUAUUGAUAUCUCCCACACAUCAAUCUCUAAAACACAUAACAUGAUUCCAUUAUUCCAUUAGAAGCAUGCCCUAGCCUAACAUAUGAUCAUUCAAUUUGAAUGUUCACAUUUGAUCAAAAUAGACUUUUAAAGGUUGUAAUGUAGGCUAUGGUGAAGGGUCAUGAAAGAAAUUGAUAAAAUAGGCUCAAAACACAUGUUUAAAUGGUUCAAACCAAAUGAUCAUUUCCCAUCAUGUAAUGCAGUUUAGCACUUUGCCCUUUUUCAUACCAUUUCACUAUUUUUUUCAUCUUAUUUCUCACAAAAAGAUUCUCAUUACUUCAACCCAAAUCAUUUGUUGCAUUUAUUUUCUUUUUUUUUAUAUAUAAAGGAUUAUUUUUUCCCUUUUUUUUUUUACUCUUUAUCUUUAUAGCCUUUUGUGAUCUCUUGUCCUUUUCCUUCUUCAAGUAUGUUUUUCUCAAAAUUUGCCCUUCAGUAUAGAGGAUAAUCCUUGGUUGGGUUUCUUUAGGAAAAAAAUCAUAAUAAGCUCAAAAGGGGUAACAAUAAAUGGUUUUAUGAAUGGCAAAAGAAAUAUGAUCAUUUUUCAUCUCAAAUGUGAAUGUUUUCUUUAAAGAUCAUCUAUUAAACAAAGAUAAACUCAUGGAUCAUUAUAAAUGAUUGCAUAUCUUCAAGACAUAUCUAUUUUAUAUCUGCUAACAGCUUACUUUUCUUGCUCAAAUAGUUUCCAUAGAUCAAUGUGAAUGAGUUCUCAAAAUCAAAUCCUAGAAUUAUUGUUAUCAUUGUCUAAACAUUCAUCAUUAAGAAUUGGAAUAAAAGAUAUGUGAAAAAACUAAGCAUGGAAUAGUAGUUGGGAUAAAAGAAAAAAUAUAAUGAAAUACACUAUACUAACCUUUUAUUAAAAUGAUAAAAAAAUGAAAUCUUAUUACACAAAAAAAUCCUAACAUUACUCUAAAAAGAAUCCCAAAAUGACAAGCAACACCAACUAACCUUAAUGUCCUUGUCCAUUUUAAAAUUAUGCCCCUGUGUGAUUAGGUGAAUGAUUUUUAUUGAUAUCUUGCCCCCUUAAUUCAUUAAAGCUCACCAAGCUUUUUUCGGAUUAAACUUUGCACCUUAUGUUUGAAAGUAGGGUAAGUUUCAAUAAAAUGACUCAUAAUCCUAUUAUGAUAAUCGCAUGUCACAUUAGCAUCAUACCAUUUUGGAUAGGGUGGUUUUAACGGUUCUAGAAUAACUAGAGAUACCAAGUCAUUCUUAACCAGUUCUGGGAAUAACUCAGUGUAAAGUCAUACGAAUAGGAUCAAUGUGAGCCUUUUCUUGGUUAUUUUGAGAUCUCCUUAAACCACUUACUUGGUUGUUAAGCUUUGAAGCUGAUGUAGUGAUAUAACUAGAUCCAUAUACAAGUAUUUGAAAUGUUGAUUAAUAAGUUAGUGGGUAAGCUAGUUAUGGAUAUGGUUGGUAAAGGGCCUCCGUAAUACAUUAAUUGUGGGAUAGUAAACAAGAUGAACAAGUGGUAGAUAUGAAGCAUAGCUUCUAAAUUGUUGCCUAUCAAAAUUCAUAGCUUAGGUUUCGACUUUUUUCUUUUUAGGCAACCCUCUUUUCCAGAUAGUUUCUCUUUCAUGAAACUUGCCACGUUGAUAGCAUUUUUAAUAAAUUUUCUUGAAAUCACUAUAUCAAUAAAUUUUUUUGUUGCAUUCCUUAUCAUAUUUUCAUAAUAGGGGAUUUUAAAGUACUUACAAAUAACACUGUGAUCUUUUUUUAGUCAAAAGUGGCUAAACUUAAGUAGCUAUAUCUCUUCACCUUUAGGCAUACUUCUUAAAUGAUUCAGUUACCUUCUUCUCCCUAUUUUGUAAGAAAAAGUAAUCAAAAGCUAAAUCUAUUAUAUAUCGAUACUAACUAAAGAAGUCACAGGCUAUCUUACUCCAAAAGUGAAUGCAGGUCUUGUCCAAUUGGUCAUACCAUCUAGCAGUAGAACCAAUAAGUUUAUCUUGAAAUACGUAUAUUAACAGCUUCUCAUUAUUAGCAUAGGCAACCAUCUUCUGACAAUAUAUAGUAAUGUGGGUCUUUGGACACUUUGUACCAUAAUAUUUCUCAAACUCUAGUACUUUAAACUUCAACAAAAUAACAACAUCUGAGAUUAAAUUGUGCCAAGUAGCAUCUAUAGAACCAUAAAAACCAAUUCCCUCUACUGCUCAUAACCUUUCCUCGAGCAUAUUCAUCUUUCUAUCAGUUAUUAAUCCUUCUAAAGUCUCUUUCUCCUUAGGCCUCAGUUUAUUUUUCUCUUUUAGGUCAUCCAAGUUAGAGAUUGGUAUUGAUUCUACUAUUUUCUCAAUAAAGAUAGAAUUUACAUAACUCUGAUAAUGCCUUAGAUUUGAGUCGAUGGCAUUACAGGGUAUGUAUACCCUACAAGGUAUUUCUAUUACUAUGAUAAUGCAUCUUGUGUGGACUAGGCUUGAUGUGGCCCAUAACUAGGAAGAUAAAGAGGAUCAACAAUAUCUUAUACGGAAUGGUUUUGCAAGUUGGUUUUUUGUACACUUUUUCCCUUGUUCAAUUUAUUCAAAAAUAUUAUAAUCUUAUUCAACUCCCCUUCGAGCUUUUCUCGAGCUUUUUUUAUUUUUUCCAAAUGAUUUGCAUUUUCCUAUUCCAUUUGCCUAGCUCGAGCUCUGGUGUUGUACUGAUGGUGAAUGUGUUGAAUUGGGUUCUUAAACAGUGGAGCUAUCUUUAAACCUUGUACCAAAUUAGCUUACUUAUGUUACUAAAUGUGUAUGUGAAGAAGCUUUCAAAAUUAACCUAACUGUUUUAAGAAUGAAUGCAUUGAAUACUUGACAUAACAACUUACGAUUCAUAAACACAUGAAUGUAUGCACAGCAAUGUAUGAAUGCAUGUAUUGAUGUUUGUCCCAUUAUGAUGCAUGGGUGGAUACAUAUGUUAGUGAUGCUAAAAUAAAAUACAACACACAACAUGCAACAAAUUAAUCAACAAGGAUAAAAUAAUGUUUAUCAUGAAGUUGAUAUGAAUGAAGCUCAAAAGGUUCACUCAUAUGUCCUAAUUAGGGUUAUAUUCUAAUGAUAGGUAGAUAUGGCUCUAACCUAAGGUUGGCUUCUUAUUUUAUAUAUAGUUUGGGUUAAAUCUGAAGGUUCCCAAAUUGUUCUCCUUCAUCACAAGCUAGUAAGACACUCCAAUCCUCACCCAUCAUAAGCUACAAACGAAAAAAAUUCAAUUUAAGUUAGAGUAUUUCAUUUGCCAUUACAAAGAUUACCAUCUUACAAAAAUGUAGGUACUUUACUCUUUCUUAAAGAGGAUAGAGCCCGAGUAUAGAGCUCAUAUGAUGCAUAUGCAUGUGAUGGUGUGUGAAGGAACACAUAUCUUUAUUCAUAAUUUUCACAAGCCAAGUUAAAGAAUAAAAAAAUAAUAAUUCAAGAUCAACCAAAAAAAAAAAAGAUAAUUCAAAAGUAAUUAAUGGCCUAACUCCUAGUAUCCCUAGUAGAGUCGCUAUACUAGCAUAAUAUAUAGAUUUGUAAAUCUAUAGCUAGACUUAACAAGAGAAGUUACCGCCAAUCUUUUUUCUAGGUGUGAUUGGUCACCUAAUGAAUCUACCCUUUUAAAAAGCUCCUAAGCUUGACUAAAGGCCCUUAAAAAAUAGGUUCUGACCUUUUAAACAGAACUAGGUUUAGAAUUUCAAUUACGUGUGGGGAAGGUUAUAGUGCCCCCACAACACCCAUCUUAAGAUGAUACCAUUUAAUUUUAAAUUAUCCUAACAAGUAUCUUGGUUAUAAUGGUUUUUAUUUUAAUGUUUAAAUAUUGAAAAUGACUUCUAUGAUUUCUCCAUCAAUUUGGUAGAAUUCUUACAAAUACUUCCUCACCUCAAGAGUAUUCAAGAAUCCUAUUUGUUUUCCUAAAAAAGCUUCGUCGUUGAAAAAAGAUUUAAUCAUUUCAAUUUUUUAUUGAAAAUAUAUCUAAUUAUUCCACAAUUUAGGCCAAAUUGGAAAUAUCUUCUCACUUAAAAUUUUUUUAGAUAAUUAACUAUUUACAAUUAUUGAGAAUUUCAUCAUCGAGAUUUAUUUUUAUUUUUUAUUUCUAAAUUUUUCACUAUUUGGGUCUAUUUAAAAAUUCUUUUUUGUUUUUGUUAUUUUUGGAAGAACAUAAUAUAACAUUUUUUUUUGAAAUUUCAUUUACAUUCAUCCACUAUUUAGGUUAAAUUUAAAGAAAAUUUCUCACCUAGAGAUUUCUUAGAAAUUUUACCAUUUGAAAUUUUUAAGAUUCUCAUAUUUGGAUAAUUGUCAAAUACAUUUAGCGAAAAAGUUUUAUUUGGAAAAGAAUAGAAUUACUUUUAUUAAAAUUUCAUCUAAAUUAUUCCACCAUUUGGGACAAAUUUAAAAAACAUUUUCACCUAAAAAUUUCUUAGAGAAUUUACCAUUUCAAUUUUCUAAGAAUUCAUCCUUGGAUAAUUAGUAUUUAAUUCCAAAUUUUUAUUAUUUUUUAUUUUGAAUUGAAAAUAAAUACUAAUUAUUAUUAUUGAAACUUUAUCUAAAUUAUUCCACCAUUUGGGAUAAAUUUAGAAAAAAAAAAUUUUACCUAGGAAUUUUAAAGAAAUUUACCAUUUACAAUUUCAAAUAUUUCAUCAUUUAAUAAUUAUUAUUUAUUCUCAAAAAAAUUAUUAUUAUUUUUUAUAUUUUUAUUAUUUUUUCUAACUUUUUUUAAAAUUUAAUCAUGCAAAAAUACUUUAAAAAUAAAUAAACAAAAUAAAUGAAUAAAUAAAUAAAUAAAAUAAAAAAUACCAAAAUAGGAACCGAUUUGGCUCGAUUAGUGUGUGUGGCUAGGCUGCAGGCACGAAACUAGCUAGAAAGGCUUGAAAGUGGCUCAACUCGACUUAGGUGUAGGUUGCUAGAUUCUGGGAUUGACCAUCGAAAUCUGGGUAAUUAUGCCAGAAUUUUACCCUCAAUUGCUUUCAAGCCCUUGCUAUUAUUUUUCCUUUAUUUUUCUUUCCAAUUGCUCUCUGAUUGUUGUCCCUUUGUUCUAUGAUUUAAAGUUCUAUAGUACAAUAUGGAGAAUUUCAUAUUGAUUCCAACUUAAAAAAUUAGGAUUAGCAUGGAAAAAUAAAAUUUAUCUUUGAAAAGUUUAACUUCAAAUUUAAUCAUGAUAAAACUAUAUUAUCACUAGUCACUCCUUUUUAAUUUAUGGCCAUUCAUUCUUUUUUUCAAUUAUCCAUUUUUUUUGAAAUAUCCAGAUAAAUUUUAAAAAAAUUAGACAAAUAUAAGGGAAUACAAUUAAAGAUAAACAAUAAAUAAAUAAGAUAAAAUAAAUAAUAAAAUAAAAUAAAAAGGAUAAAUAAAAAGAUCUAUAUAGAUAAAUAAAGUAAAAACAUAAUUUUGACAUUAGGCUUGGAUCAAAUCUGAGCCUAAUCGAUUAGGGCCUUUGGCCUUGAAAUUAAAUUGGGCCUAGUUGAUUUAGACCUUGAACUAAAUUGGUUGUUUACAACUGAUGGUCAUUCUAGUAAGAUAUAUAUAUCUAAGGUCAAAGGAAGAUGCUAAAGAGAAACUGAGUGUGGAAGAAGCUUUUGCCAAGUUGUCCAUCCAGAUAAUAGCUGAAAAAGAUAGAAAAGUCCAAGAGAAAAUGUGUUGGUCCAUCCAUGUCUACCAAGCUUUGAACUAAAAAAUUAGAGUAUCAUCAAGACACUUGCUGUCCUUAAUACCUUUCAAUAUAAUUAUAAAUCCCAAUUGCCUAUGGCCAAAAGUAUUGGGAUGGCCUUUUAUGUACAGGCCUUUUAUCAGUUAUUAUCUUAAUAAAAGAAUAGAAGUAUGCAUUUUCCUUCAUUUUUUCUAUUCAGUUUUCAUUUUUCAUCUAGUCAAAACAUUUUUCCAAAACUUUCCAUUUCAUUUAUUUUAGAUCCUUAAAUUAAUAUGAAGAUAAUCAUAAUAACAAUUAGAAAUUUGAUUUUGAAAACUCAAUUAAUGCUGAUGAACUUAACACCAAAGAUGACUAUGAAAAAUGCACUUUACCUUUAGAUCUAAAGAAAUUGAUUGAAUAGGAGAAUAAAUCUAUUAAGCCUCAUCAAGAAAUCACUAAGAUGAUAAAUUUAGGGGAUGAUAAGAAUAAAAAGGAUGUUAAGGUUUGCUUAUCACUUCCAUCAACUGAUAGACAAAAGUUAAAAGAUCUACUUUAAGAGUUUAUAAAUGUGUUUGCCUAGUCCUAUCAGGAUAUGCCAGGGCUUAGCACCAAAAGAGUGGAGCAUAAGUUACCUUUGAAACCUAAAUGUAAGCCUGUUCAACAAAAAUUGAGAAAAAUAAAGCCUAAAAUGCUAUUGAAGAUUAAAAUAGAAGUAAAAAACAGUUUAAUGUAGGUUUUCUACAAGUGGCCAAAUAUCUUAAAUAGGUAACUAAUAUAGUAUCUAUUCUUAAAAAAGAUAAAAAAAUAUGAAUAUAUGUAGAUUAUCGUGAUCUAAAUAAGGCUAGCCCGAAGGAUAAUUUUUCUCUACCUCAUAUAUACACAUUGGUGGAUAAUAAGGCCAAGCAUUCAAUAUUCUCUUUUAUGGAUGAGUUCUUAGGUUAUAAUCAGAUAAAGAUGGCCCAAAAUGACAUAAAGAAAACUAUAUUCGUAACCAUAUAAGGUACUUUUUGUUACAAAGUUACGCCUUUUGGAUUGAAAAAUACCAGCGUAAUUUAUCAAAGGGUUAUGGUAACACUCUUCCAUAACAUGAUACAUAUGGAGAUUGAGAUGUAUAUGGAUGAUAUGAUCACAAAAUAUCGUGAACAAGAAGACCAUGUAACUAACCUCAAAAAGUUGUUUGAGAGGUUAAAAAAGUUUCAACUAAAGUUAAAUCCAUCUAAAUGCACAUUUGGAGCUAAGCCAAGCAAAUUGCUAAACUUCAUGGUUUGUGAAAGAGGGAUUAAAGUUGACUCAAACAAGAUACAGGCCAUUCAAAAUCUAUUUCCUCUAAGCAUGCCAAAGGAAGUUUGAGGUUUUUUAGACAAAUUGAAUUACAUAUCUUGAUUCAUUUUUCAACUUACCUCUAAAUGCAAUCCCAUCUUUAAACUCUUUCAAAAGAACAAUCUUAUUGAGUGAAAUAAAGAGUGUCAAAAAGCUUUUGAUAAGGUUAAGUAGUACCUAUCAAAUUUUUUAGCGCUGGUAUCAAUUCUUUUAGGAAAAUCGUUAAUUCUAUAUUUAACUAUAUAUAAGAAGUCAAUGGGAUGUAUGUUUGGGCAACAAGAUAAGUUUGGUAAAAAGAGAAAAGUUAUUUAUUACUUAAGCAAGAAGUUCAUGAAAUAUGAGUCCAAGUAUUCAUUAUUGGAGAAAAUGUGUUGUGUUUUAGCUUGGAUAGCUAAAAAACUCAAGCAGUACAUACUCUACCAUACCAUUUGGCUUAUAGCCAAAUUGGACCUAAUCAAGUAUAUUUUCAAGAAAUUGUCAUUUUUAGAAGAAUUGCAAGAUGGCAAAUAAUGCUAUCGAAGUAUGAUAUUGUGUAUGUAUGCCAAAAAGCAAUCAAAAGAAGUGUCAUAACAGAAUUUCUUAUAGAUUAUGUUACUGAAAGCUAUGAGCCAAUGAAACUUGAUUUUUUAAAUGAAUAACUAAUGGCCAUUUUUUAGCCAUAAGAAUGAGAAAUCCUAGAAAAUGUACUUCAAUGGGGCUGAUAAUGCCUUGAGGCAUAAAAUUAGGACAAUUUUGAUAUCUCUCGAAGGAUAGUAUUAUCUCGUUAUGGCAAGGUUGAACUUUAAUUACACUAAUUAUGUGGCAAAAUACGAGGCCUAAGUUACAAAUGGCUUUGAAUAGGAAAAUUAAAGUGUUAAAAGUGUUCAGGAAUUCAACUUUAAUCAUUUAUCAAUUGAAAAGAGAAUGGGAGACAAAAGAUUUGAAACUUAUUCCAUAUCAUAAAUAUAUCUUAGAGUUAUGCAAACAGUUUAAGGAAGUUUAAUUUAAACAUGGCAGUGAUAAUUUGGGUUAAUAACAAUACUAAGAUUUAGCUCAUUAAGUUAGAUAUCCAAGAUAUGCUAAUAACAUUGCACUAAUGUGAAAGAGGAAGAAGAUGGAAAGCCUUGGUAUUAUGACACCUGUAAUACUUAAGGAAUUAGUAAUACCCAGAUCAUGUAACAGAGAAUGAUAAGAGAGUCCUGAAGAGAUUGGCUAUGGUUUCUUCCUAGAUGAUGAGGUCCUUUAUAAAAGAAGUAGAGAUCAGAUGUUAUUAUGAUGUGUAAUUAUAGUUGAGGAAAAGAAGAUUAUUGAGGAUGUGCAUGAUAGAGUAUGUAGAGCAUAUGCAAAUGGACACAUGAUAGCAAGAUAGAAUAUAAGAGCUAGAUACUACUAGUUAAUAAUAAAGAGCGACUGCAUUGAUUAUGUUCAUAAGUGUCAUAAGUGUCAAAUUUAAGCUAACAAGAUCUAUGCUCCACCAAUUAUUUUACAUGUUUUGGCACCACCUUGGCCAUUCUAUAUAUAGGGCAUGGAUGUUAUUGGUCCCAUUACUCUAAAAGCAUCAAAUAAAAAUAGAUUCAUUUUUAUGAUGAUUAAUUAUUUCACUAAAUUAGUUGAAGCAUCUUCAUAUAUGAAUGUGACAUGAUCAAUGGUUUGCAAGUUUAUAAAAAAAAAAAAUCUACAAAUAUGGACUCUGAGAGAGGAUCAUCUCAGAUAAUGCUAAAAACUUAAAUAGCAAGAUGAUGAAAGAUAUAUGUGCUUAGUUCAAAAUUAAACACCAUAACUUAGCAUUAUAUUACCCAAAGAUUAAUGGGAUAGAAGAAGCUGCUAAUAAAAAUAUCAAAAAAAUUUUAGAGAAAAUUACUAAAAUGUAUAGAGAUUGUCAUUAGAAAUUACUUUUUGCUUUACAUGCCUAUUGAAUAUUAUUACAUAUCUUUACUGAGGCAACCUCAUUUUUCCUGGAUUAUGGGAUGGAGGUUGUAUUACUAGUUGAAGUAAAAAUCUCAUCUUUCAAAGUCUUAAAGAAAAGUGGGAUUAGAAAAAGCUAAAUGGAUUCAAGAAUGCUAUGAACAACUAAACUUCAUUGAAGAGAAGAGGCUAUUAAUGUUGUGUCAUGGUCAAUUAUAUCAAAAAAGAAUGAUAAGAGCUCAUGACAAAAAAAUUUGACCUCAUCAAUUUUGAGGAGAAGAGUUGGUGUUGAAAAGAAUUUUCCUAAGUCAGAUAAUAAUAGAGGAAAGUGGACCCGAAUUGGAAAAGGUCAUAUAUGGUAAAAAGGGCUUUUUAAGAUGAAGCAUUAAUUUUAACAAAGAUGGUUGGAGAUGAUCUUUCCAAUCCCAUAAAUUCUAAUGCUAUGAAGAAGUACUUUACUUUAAAAAAAAAGAAAGUCCAAAUCAAAAACUUGAAAGGGCAAUUUAAACCAAAAAUAGGUUUAUCCAAGUUGAAAAUAUGUAAAGGCAACUUGGAUAAGGAGAGUAUAGCAUCAUUUGGAAGGUUCACCAACCACAAAGCUAGUAUAUUUUGAAGACCUCUAAAGCACUAAGGGCAUUGGGUGGUUGAGUUUUUGAAAAAAAUCAGAUAUAUGUUGUCAUGAUUAUUUGAUUAUAUAUCUUGAGGCAUUGUUAACCCAAAUAGCCAUCAUUAUAUACCUUUACCAUGUCCAAUUAGCCACCAUUUGUAAUCUGGCUUCUUUUCCAAAUAAAGAUAUUCAUUUCAUUAUUUAUAUCUCAUUUUCAAUCAAUGUCAUUUCUUUAAAUUAUUUGCAAUGAAUAGAAAAAAUGUUUGAUUUGCGUCUUAUAUGUCUUGAAAAUAACAUAAUGAUUGAUAAUUGAAUAAUAUCAUGAAAAAAUAUAUAUUACUUUAGAAAGAGUGAAAGAUACAAAGGCAAAAGAUAAAACUUUCAAAACCUGGUAAGGACAUUGAUUUAGGAAAGAAAAAAAAAAAAACUCUUCUAAAGAGAAAGGCAAGUGCAUACUUUGAACAAUGAAAAAUAGAGCUAAUUUUGUUCCCAUUAUUGGAAAUUUGAAGAGUUUGGAAUUCAAAAGAAAAAUUCUUAAGAAUCUACUAAUUUUGUUCCCAUUAUUGGAAAUUUGAAAAGUUUGGAAUUCAAAAGAAAAAGUCUUAAGAAUCUAUGUACCACAACUAAAAGUUCAUUAAUUAUCAUUUGCACUGCAUACAUUGCAUAUAGGGAUAUCCUUUCCAUUUAUCUAGAGUAGGGAUGUCAUAAGAUCCAAUAUAAAUAAUGUGAAUCCAAAGAUUUCAAAUUUUUAAUAGAGAAGAAAUUUUUAAGGUAAGAUUUUUUAAUCUUCAAAGAAAAAGCUUUUCAAAAUCUUUAAACCUUUGAUUAGAGGACUCUAAUUUAAAGUUAUUUAGCCUUUGUAUAAAAAAGCCUAUUUCUUAGUUUAAAGUUGUUUAGCCGCUAAAUAAAGAAGCUCCUUUCUUAGUUUAAAGUUACUUAGCCUCUGUAUAGAUGAGCUUAUUUCUUUAUUUAUUAGCCUAUGUAUAAAGGAGUUUAUUUUGUUGAAUCUCUGUUUAGAUGAGUUAUUUGGAGUUUUUAAACUUUAUGCCUCUGUUUAGAGAAGUUUGUUAAAAUUUUUCAAAAAUUCGAUGCCUCUUUUUAGAGGAUUUUUUUAAAAUUGCUUGAGUUGAACUAGACUCAAUGGUUGCCUAAGUCUUUACGUCAUUCUUAUUUUACAGAAAUAUGCAAAAAGAGGCAACUAUAGACACCUCAUUUCAUAUGGUGCUCGUAAUUAAACUUUAGUUUGGGUUUUUUGGGCUUUCAAGGCGUCUAUCAGGCCUAUAAAUUGGAGUGGAGCCUUAAAUUGAUUAUAGGCUUUAAGCUAGUAUAGGGUACCAUUUGAUAUUUGGGCUUUGAAUCCACUUUAUAAUUACACUUAUGUUUUAAUUAAAUAUUAAUAAAAAAAUUAAUUUAAAAAUGAUAAAAAAAAGAAAUGAAAUCAGGAAUUUUUUGAAGAUCAAUCCUGAAAUCAUGAUUGAAUAGAAUUGGAAACAAAUCAAAAAUAAAAAACAUUGACCAAAAUCAAAUUAAAACCCAAAAUCAAACAAUGAUUUAGAACAAAUUUGUUAAUGGCAGAUUUGAUCUUAAAUAAUGGAACGUUAAAAUUUUUUACUAGGAAAUCCAUAUAAAUCAUGCUCAAACCCACAAAUACAUAUAUAGAGAUUAAGCAAAAGCAACAAAGAGGAAAUUUUUUGGUUGUAAAAAAGGGUUAUAGUCACCUAUCUGUGUCCGGGGUCCGUCGCAUCAAUUUUUAUUUUUUUUGCCACUAAUGUUACAUUACUACCCUAUUAUUAUAUUACUACUAUAAUAUUAUUAUAGUAUUAUAUUAUAUUAUUAUUAUAGUAUGCUGAUAUUAUACUACUAUUAUUAUAUUAGUAUUAUAUUAUAGUAUAGUAUAUUAUUAUAUUGUAUUAGGUUAUCAUAUUAUGAUUAUUAUUAUUAUUAAUAUUAUUAUAUUUGAUAUUAUUAUUCCUUUUAUUAUUUUUAUCAGAUUGUCUUUCUUUUUCCCUAAUCAGGGCUGAACAAAUUAUGGAAACCGAAAUCAAAUUGGUCAGUCAAAGGUUUUAAUGUAGAAUCAUGUCUAGAUAAUGGUUCAAUUCAAUGGAGAUCAAAUCAGUAAACAAAAUCACGCUCGGGCAAAAUCCAAUCCCAAGAUUCAAGCUUGGAAUUGAUUCUAUUUGUUUUUUAAAAUUUGUUCUAAGGGGGCCUAUAAAUUAAACAAGAAAUCAAAGGAAUGAUAGAAAAAAAAAAGUAGUGAAAAAGCUAGGGUUAUUAUUUUGGAAAUAAUUUUUGGGCAAUAGGGUUUUCUAGAAAAUUUUGGUCUUUUGGGAUUUGGAUUUUUGGGAGUUAUUGGUUUGAUCUAGAGUUUCUAGGCUUAGAUUUGGGAUUAUAAGAUAGCUUUAGAUUUUUUGAGGGAUUUUGGAGAAUUUGGGAAAAAUCUAUUUUUUUCUGGAAAAUUUUGGAAUUUUGGAAAAACAUAUGAAUUUUUUGAUGAAGUUAUUGGCGGGAGUUUGAAGCUUUCAGUGAGAUUUUAGCAAGAUUUUCAAAAACUGGCAAAGUUUAUAUAUUCCAAUUAAAUUUCUAGAUAGGAUUUUAGAGAAAGGGGAAAGAGUUUUUAGGUUAAAAAGAGUGUGGGUAGAAGGUUUCUAAAGCUAAACGUAAAGGCUUAGCUUUUUUACUGGUCCAAAAUGAUAGCAUUUUGAACACCCCAGAUCCGUGUGUCUACCUAGCAACCCACGUGAAGAUUCGCAUACAGACCUAACCCGUUUCACAAGUUUUUUUUUUUUCGUUUUCAUUUUAUUUUUUAAUUUUAAUUUUAAUUUUUAUUAUUUUCUUAAGUUUUUAUUUUAUUUUCAAUAUUUUUUAUUUAAUUUUGCUAGUUUUCAAAAAAAAGAAAAAAUGUUUUCUGGAAAACAGAAGAAGCAAAGAAUAAAAAAAAAAAAGCUAAAGAAAAUAAUCCCUCCAAAUAAGUUUAAAAAACAAAUAAAUAAGUCUAAAAAAGAAAUCUUUUUUCAAAUAAAUUUAUGGAAUCCACCAAACUAUUGAGAAAUUUCAUAAAUUAGUUUUUUUAAAAAGAAAAAAGAAUAAUAGAAUAUUUUUCCUCUAAACUAUUGGAGGAUUAUUUUUAAAUUAAGUUUUACCAAACUAUUGGAAGACAUUUAGUGAAAUUUACAAAAUUGUUAUAAAUCUUUUUACUAUAAAAUCUCAUAAACUAUUGGGAGAUCUGCCUCAAUGUAAAUCCUACCAAACUAUUGGGAGACUUUACUAAUUUUUUUGAAUAAAAAAUUAUAAUAAAUCUUAUGACGGAGCCUCUUUAGAAUAUUACACUAGUCUCUAUGAAUACUCUUGAGGUGAGAGAAUUAUCUUAAAUUACUACCAAACUAUUGGGACAAUUUUAAGAUUAAUUUUCAAUAUUAAAUAAUUUGGUAAAUUACAAAUAUGAUCAAGGCUUGGAUAAUUUGAAAUCAAACUGGUACUAUCCUUUAGAUGGGUGCUUAAGGGUGCUAUAACAUUUCCUCACAUGUAACCGUACUUUUGAACCUAAAAUUUGGUUUUACAGAUCAGAAUCUAUUUUAGGUGGUCAAUCACACCUAAACAAAAAAGAUUGGUGAUGACUCCUUUAAUCUAUGUCUAGCAUUAGGUCCACGAAUCUAUAUGUUAUGACAAUUUGGUGACUCCACUUGGGACAUUGAAAGUCAAUCUAGUCAAUGAUUACUUAUUAUCUAAGCCUUGCUUAAUAAAUUUGAGAUUAUUUUCUAUUUUUCUUAUUUAUUUCUUUUCAUUGCUUAUACUUUAAUUAUUCAUUUAUUUCUUUUCAUUGCAUAUGCUUGCUUAAUUAUUUAUUUAUUUGUUUUAUAUAUAUAUAUAUAUAUAUCUAUCACUCAUUUAUAUAUGCAUAACAUAAGCUAUCUACCCGAGCUUUACCUUUAGGAAAGAGUGAAGUACCUAUGCCUUCAUGAGAUUUUAUGUAUUCGCAUGGGUCUGAAAAACACGUCCACUCAAAUUGAACCCUUUCUGCUGAUAGCUUAUGAUGGGUAAGGAUCGAGAUGCCUUACUAGUCUAUGAUGGACAAUGAUAUAAGGAACAAUUUGGAAACCUAUUAGAGUUAACCCAAACCAUAUAUAGUUAACUUUAAGACCCAAACCAUAUAUAGUUAACUUUAAGAGCUCAACCAUACGUAGAGCCUUAUCUUUUCACCCUUUUUAGCCAAUCCAAAAUUCAAGGUCAUAUUGUUAUCUUACUUGCUAUAUGAUGCUUAUUCUUUUUUAUUAUUAUUAUUAUUGAAGUGACUAACUAAUUUUCUUGUUUUCUUUUUAUUUCUUUUCCUCUUGUGCAUAUUUAUAAACAUACUUACAUAUUGCAUAGUAUUUUUACCCUAAAAGUCAUUUCAACAAAAGCUCUUAUGGACUCUACAGAACGUCAGGUUUGUGCCUUAUCUAUAUUUUUCAAAUGUGACUUGCCUAUAAAUGUGAAACUAGAAUUAAAGAAGAGGCAGCAAGAAAGAGAUUGUUUACCACUUGGUUAUAUUCCACAUUAUCAAAGGAAGUUUGCAUGCUCUUCAAACAGAAUAAUUUGAAAAGCCUAUCAGAUAUAUAGAAUAGCAUGACUCCUUCAAGGUAGAAAGCUUUUUUUCAAAAGUUUGAGCAUAUUGCAUAUCUUUUAUCAGUGGAUGUUGAUAACUCACUCAUUAAAGUGAUGCUAUAAUUUUGAGAUCCUUCAUACUGUUACUUCAUUUUUUAAUAAGGUUGAUUUGGUGUUAAUUAUAGAAGAGUAUUCAACUUUAGUAGGUAUGCAUCUACUAUAUCCAGAUAGAAUAUAUGUGAAAAAACAAAAAUAAAGAAAUUACAAGAAAUUAAGCCAGAUAUUGGGAGUGAGAAAAAAGAUUAUAGAUUCAUACAUUCAAGAAAAAAAAGAUCGUAAGAAUAUUCCAGGGAAAAUUCUCUAAGAUUUCAUUAUUAAAAAUUUGAAUAAUGAUUAGGGAAUGAAUGUGUUCGCUUUAGCCAUAUAUAGGAUGAUCAUCUUUCCUAAAGUCUUAAGCCAUAUUGAGAUAGAAAUGGUUGUUCUAUUUGAGUAGAUAAAAAAAGGGUAACUAUCUUGGCAGAAACCAUCAGAUCUCUGAACUUUUGUAGAUAAAAUGACAAAGCAAGAUUCAUGAGUUGCAUACCAUUACUAUAUAUGUGGAUGAAAAGCCAUUUCGAAUGAAAGAAGAGUAUUUUUUUUCUAAGCUCUUUUUUAUAGUUGAGUCCCAAUUAGGGAGUUCUCUAAUUGCAUUUGGCCACAAGCAAAGACUCAGAAAUGAUGGAAAUGUUUGUUACAAAAACUCAUAGUCGGUCAGGUAAAAUAGUUAGCUCCGUGGAUGAAUCGAGAACCUAUGUUGUAUCAAUGUGGAGCUGAGAUAGGGGUUCCACUUUUAGAGUUAUGCGGGUUAACAAGUUAUGCACCACUAAUGGUAAGGAGACGGUAUAGAGAUGAAUAGUUUACUCCUAUGACUUGUUAGCUCAAACAAUUUGAUUGUUCAUAUGAUGAGCUCAAAACCUUUUAAAAGAUUGAUAGUAUGAUCAUGGCCUAGAAGAAGCCUAAAAAAGUAAGUCAUGUACCAUUUACUAAUAAGGCCACUAAAAGGUAUUUGAUUUAGAGAACCAAAAGGGGCCAAAAAGUGGCAUUUAUACCUAAAAACCAUUACUAGUUAAAGAGUCAAACGAUGUGCCUCUAAAAUCAGAAUCUAAAAUGAAAGAACUUGAAGUAGAGAAAGAGAAAUUGAAACAAGAACUUUUGAAGCUUCAAAAAGAAAAUGAACAGUGGUAAAACAAAGCAAAAAAAUUAAAAGUCCAAGUCUACAAGAUUUUCAAGGAAUAUAGCAAGGCCUAAAAAGUAAUCCAAAAAUGAGAUGAUGCCUUUAAGAAAUUAAAAGAGCUGCGAUAAAAGCAUAAGAGAUUACAAAUAUAGGUGUAGGCCAAAGAGAUAAAUAACACGAAUCUAGCUUAUGAGAAUGAAGAGUUGAAAAAAGAAUGUGCACAAAUAGAAUAUGAUUAUGUUAAAGUUCAACAAGAAAAUGAAAUGCUCUCAAAUUACAUUUUAACCUUGAAACUGAAGUUGGAUGACCAAAGAAACCAUGUUAAAAUGCUCACGAAAAAGCACAAGGAAUUAUCUUAUAAGGUGUGGUUCAGCAAAAGAGAAGGGUUAUGAAGACAAUGAUACAUAGAGCAUCUCACAACUCAGAUAGGUAAAACAGUAAUCAAGGUAGGUGAAAUGGCAUAAGAGGCUGAGGCGUUAAGAGCUUCAGUCACACCAACAGGAGAGCAUUGACAGAGAUUGCCAAACUUCAUUGAGGAGGCUAAAUACUAGUAUAAGCAAGUUAGGUGUUUUUAUAGAGGGACAGUAUUAGAUUUGAUGUAAAAUAGACUCUUGUGAAAUAAAUGAAAGUUUAUUUUUGUUAAAAUUGUUAAAAAGGCAAACAUUUUUCUUUUCUUUCAUUUUUUUCAUACAUUGCAUCACAUUCAUUCAUUGUUAUUUAUUGUCAUGACAUGAUCACUGAUUUUAAAUCAUGGUAUUAAGGUGCAAGAAUAGCUAUGCAUUCGUAUAAUACCUAGCCUAAAGCCAGAAAGAUGGAGUAGGAUAAUGCAAAUCAUCUUGAAAGAACAGAAAAAGCAUAAUAGAUACUUGAAAAAAAAUUUAGCAAAAUUCUGGAAGCUCUGAAAAAAGAAAAUAGAAGAAAGGCAAUAGAGGAAAAUACCUCACCUGAAGCUAUUGAAUCAACAUAUCCUUUAAGUUUCAGUCUAUAUCAGACCCAAACUACCCUAAUUUUUCAACCAUAACAGCCAACCAUUCUAAAUUAUAACUACCCAAGAAUGAUUUAUGUACUUGAUCAUGAGAAUGUCCAAAAUUAUAAUAAUUUUAUUUUUGUCAAAAAGGUAACUGAACCUACUCAACUCCUUACUUUAGAUAACAUAAAAGACAAAGAAAAGUUGUAAGCAACUGCAUCUUUGGAAAAUUCUAAGACUAAUUAAGCCAUGAACAGGAUUAAAGAAAGAUUACGGGUUGUAAAAAGAAUUGAUUUCUACAAAUCCAUGAAUGCAAUAAGACUUUGGUUAGUACCAGACGUAAUGAUACCUCUCAAAUUUAAAGUAACAAAUUUUGAGAAGUAUGAUGGUACUAAGUACCCCAUCACAUAUAUCACAAUGUACUUGCACAAGAUGGCAGCACAUGAUAGCAAUAAAAAGCUAUUCAUAUAUAUCUUUCAAGACAACUUGACUGGAUCUACUGUAAAGUGGUAUGUGUAACUAGAUGAAACCCACAUAAAGUCAUGACAAGAUCUGACCCAAUCCUUUAUUAAUCAAUAUCACCAAUCAUUGAUGUGGCUCCAAUCGCUUUUCAUUGCAAGGUAUUGAAAAGAAAAAAUUUGAAUCCUUUAAGCAAUAUACCUAAAAGUGGCAGAAUGUAGCUGCUAAAGUACAACCUCCCUUGACAAAAAAAAAACUACAGUGCUAUUCAUGAGCACUCUAAAGUCACCAUACUAUGAAAAAAUGAUAGAAAAUACGACUAAAAACUUUGUUGAUAUAGUGAUUUUGAGAGAGAUCAUAAAAAAUACCAUCAAAAAUAACAAAUUUGAAGGAGAAGAGUCUUCUAAAAAAGUGUCUAAAAAGAAAAAAAAUUGAGACUCAAGCUAUGAGUCUUGAAGGGUAGUAAUCCAAAAACUACUUUCGACUAACCUAUCCCAUAUAUCACAACACUGUAAAUCAUACUUCCACUUCCCCUUACCAACCAAUUACACAACCUUCUUAUCCAUCCUCACCAUAAUCACUUACAUAUCCAGUCAACAUAACAAAUAGUGCUUGUGAACCACAAACAAGGAAAAUACCCGUUUUUGAUCCUAUACCCAUAAGCUACAUAGAGUUAUAUCAAGAACUUUACAAAAACCACCUCAUUACCUUCGUUCCUACAAAACAACUUGAACCUCCAUAUCUCAAAUGCUAUGAUGCCAUCAUCCACUGUCACUUAUGGAGUAAUGGCCAUUCUACUAAAAAUUACCUUUUUUUAAAGCAAAAAGUGCAACAUCUGAUUAAAAAAAGGCUAAUAAGUUUUGAUGCUAAUGCAAACUCAGCACCUAAUAUUAGCAAAAAUCUUUUACCUAAUCAUACAGUUAAUGUCUUAGACAAAGACAAAAAGCACAUCAAAAGAAGGGUAAAAGAGCUUAAGAUGUCAUUCAACCAACUGUAUGGUGCUUUAUAUAAGGCUGGGUUGAUACAACCAGUAGCCCUACACACCUAUACAGGAAGAUACAUCCCUAAUCAAAGAUGUAAGUAUCACACUAGAGUUUUAGGUCAUUUUAUUAACAUCUGUAAACAAUUCUGUGAUGAGGUGCAAAAACUAAUAGACUCAUACCAAAUAGAAUUAUGUAAAAAAUCAAAAGCUUUAAAAAAUAUUUGGGUGGCUAUGACAGAUAGGUGGGUGCCAAAACCACCUUAAAAAAUAUAAAGACUGGCACGAAAAAUAACUUUUACUCUACAUGCUUAUCGGACAUCUGUAUGUACUUUCACCAGGGUAAUUCCAUUUUUCCUAGUCUACAAAAUGAAAGCAUAUUGCCAGUAAAACUAGAAAUCUCAUUUUUGAAAGUCUUAAGAAAAGUGAUAUUAGAAAAAGCUGAAUGGAUUCAAGAGUGCUAUAAGCAAUUGAACUUUAUUAAAAAAAAAGAUUGACAACACUCUACCACAGCCAACUGUACCAAAAAAGAAUAAUGAGAGCUCAUGACAAAAAGGUUUGACUCGAUCAAUUUCAAGAAGAAAAAUUGAUAUUGAAAAGAAUUCUUCUAAGCUAACAUGAUGAUCAGAGAAAUGGACUCCAAAUUAGGAAGGACCACAUGUUGUAAAAAGAGUUUUUUCAAGAGAAACCUUAAUCUUGUCAGAAAUGGAUAGAGAUGAGCUUCUUUAUCCCAUUAAUUCCAAUGUCGUGAAGAAAUACUUUACUUAAACAAAAGAAAAAAGAGGAAGUUCAAGUUGAAAACCCGAAAGGGUAGUUUGAACAAAAAAAAAAAAAAGUUCAAGUUGAAAACUCUGAAAGGUGGCUUGAAUGAGAGCAUCUUGGAUGAAUAGAAUAUGGCAUCACUUGAAAGGCAUAAUAGAGACAAUAAAUUUCAAAGAGUUCAAAAAUGUUAAGGCAUCAUGUUUUGGUUAAAUUUUUUAUGACAUCCAAGAUUUGUUGCCAUGAUUACCUUAUUGCUUACCUAAUUGCUUAUAGAUCCGAUCUUAGUCUAGGUCAAAUCAUUUUUAGACUUACAGUAUCAUUCCAAUCAUUAAUCUAUGAUCUUGACUUGGUCUUGGUCACUUUCAAACUUGCAGCAUCGUUUCAGUCAUUAAUAUAUGACUUCGACUCGAUCUUGGUUACUUUCAAACUCGUAAUAUCAUCCCAGUCAUCUGAUCUCGAUUCAAGUCAAAUCAUUUUAAGACUCACAGCAUCAUCCCAAUCAUUAAUCUAUGAUCUUGACUUGAUCUUAGUCGCUUUCAGACUCGCGUCAUUAUCCUAGUCAUAUGAUCUCAAUUCAGGCCAAAUUUUGAUUUAGGCCAAAUCAUUUUAAGACUCGCGACAUCAUCUUUGUCAUUAAUUUAUGACCUCUACUCGAUUUUGAUCGCUCUUAGACUUACGACAUCAUCCUAGUCAUCCAAUCUCAAUUCAAGUCAAAUCAUUUUAAGACUCAUGACAUCAUUUUAAUCAUUAAUUUACGACUUCAACUCGAUCUUGGUCAUUUCAGACUUGCAGUAUCAUCUCAGUUAUUCAAUCUAGACUCAGGUAAGAUCAUUUUAAGACUCACAGCAUUGUCCCAAUCAUUCUUUUUUUACCUCAAUUUGAUCUUGGUCACUUCUAGAUUUGUGUCAUUAUACCAAUCGUCCAAGCCAGAUUCACAUCAUCGUCAUAAUCAUUCAUCUUCGACCUUGACUCGAUCUUGGUCGUUUGCUGACUUGCGACAUUGUACUAGUCAUUCAACCUAGCUCGAUCCUGGUCACUUUUCAACUCGCGAUUUAUUUUUUAUCAGUUUUACUACUGAUUUAACUCAACCAAAGUGGGUAUCUAGGUCUUUACAUCAUCUCUAUCUAAUAGUGAUGUGCAAAGAAGGACAACUGUAGACACCUAUCUGUGUCUGGGGUCUAUCGCAUCAAUUUUUAUUAUUUUUUACCACUAUUGUUACAUUAUUAUACUAUUAUUACAUUACUACUAUACUAUUAUAAUAUUAUUAUAGUAUUAUAUUAUAUUAUAUUAUAUUAUUAUGAUAGUAUGUUGAUAUUAUAUUACUAUAUUAUAUUAGUAUUAUAUUAUAUUAUAGUAUUUUAUUAUAUUAUAUUAGGUUAUCAUAUUAUAAUUUUUAUUAUUAUUAUAUCCGAUAUUAUCAUUACUUUUAUUAUUUUUAUCAGAUUUUCUUUCCUUUUCUUGAUUAAGGCUAAACAAAUUAUGGAAACUGAAAUCGAAUCAAUCAAUCAAAGGUUUUAAUGCAGAAUCAUUUAUGGAUAAUGGUUGAAUUCAAUGGUGAUCAAAUCAAUGAAAAAAAUCCCGCUCGAGUAGAAUCCAAUCUCAAAAUUCAAGCUUGGGAUUGAUUAUGUCCAUUUUCUAAAAUCAAUUCUAAAAGGGCCUAUAAAUUGAACAAGAAAAAAAAAGGUAGUGAAAAAACUGGGGUUAUUAUUUUGAAAACAAUUUUUGGGCAAUAGGUUUUUUAAAAAAAAUUUUGGUUUCCUAGGAUUUGGAUUCUUAGGAGUUUUGGGUUUGAUCUAGAGUUUCUAGGUUUAGAUUUGGGAUUCUAAUAUUAUAUUUAGAUUUUUAGAGGGAUUUUGGAGAAUUCGGGAAAAAUCUAUUUUUUUCUAGAAAAUUUUGAAAAUUUGGAAGAGCAUAUGAAUUUUUUGAUGAAGUUUUGGGUGGGAGUUUGAAGUUUUCAAUGAGAUUCUGAUGAGAUUUUCAAAAACUAGUGAAGUUUCCAGAUUUUGGUUAAAUCUCUAGGUAGGUUUUUAGAGAGAGAAAAAAGAGUUUUAAGUUAGAGAGAGUGUGGGUAGAAGGUUUUUGAAGCUAAACAUAAAGGCUUAGCUUUUAUACUAAUCCAAAAUGAUAGCGUUUUGAACACCUUAGAUCACGCGUUUACCCAAUAACCCAUUUGAAGAUCCGCUUAUACACCUGACCCAUUUCGCAGGUUUCUUUUUUUCAUUUUCAUUUUAUUUUUAAUUUUUUUUUGUUUUCUUAAGUUUUAUUUUAUUUUCAGUAUUUCUUUUAAUAGUUUUGCUAGUUUUCAAAAAAAAGAAAAAAAUCUUUUCAAAAAUAAAAAAAGCUAAAGAAAAAAAAUCCUUUCAAAUAAGUUUAAAAAACAAAUAAAUAAGUCUAAAAAAGAAAUUUUUUUAAAUAAAUUUAUAGAAUCUACAAAACUAUUAGAAAAUUUCAUAAAUUAGUUUUUUUAAAGAAAAAAGAAUAAUAGAAUAUUUUUUCCUCUAAACUAUUGAAGGAUUAUUUUUAAAUUAAAUCUUACCAAACUAUCGGGAGACUUAAUGAAAUUCACAAAAUUUUUAUAAAUCUUUGUACAAUAAAAUCUCACCAAACUAUUGAAAAAUUUGUCUUAAAGUAAGUCUUACCAAACUAUUGAGAUACUUUACUAAUUUUUUUGAAUAAAAUAUUAUAAUAAAUUCGAUGAUGAGCUUUUUUAGAAUAGGAUAUUAGUCUCUAUGAAUACUCCAGAGGUGAGAGAAUUAUCUUAAAUUGCUAUCAAACUAUUUGAACAAUUUUAAGAUUAAUUUUUAAUAUUAAAUAAUCUGACAAAUUACAAAUACGAUCAAGGUUUGGAUAAUUUGAAAUCAAACUGGUAUUAUCAUUUGGAUGGGCACUGUGAGGGUGUUAUAACUUUUCUCACACAUAACCGUACUCCCAAACCUAAAAUCUAGUUUUGCAAAUCAAAAUUUGUUUCAGGUGACCAAUCACACCUAAACAAAAAAGAUUUAUGGUGACUCAUCUAAUCUAUACCUAGCAGUAAGUCUACGGAUCUAUAAAUUAUAACAAUGGUUUUUGAAUUUUUGGCUUUAUUUUAUUUUCUAGGACUUUUGCACUUGGUUUAGUUUUUUUUUUUUUUUGGAACUAGGAUUCAAUCUUUUGUUUGAUUGGAUUUCUUUUAGGUUUUUAGGGAUUUUGGAUUCAAGUUUUUGAUUUUUUUUUUAGAAUUUUUGGAAAAUUCUUUGAAUUUUCUUAUGAAGGGUUGAAGUUCCCAGCAACCGGCAUUAAAAAUCUUGCCAGCUUUUAGAAUUUUUUCGCCAGAUUCUGGGCACCAUUGAAUUUACUAUUUGAAUGCUAAAGAGAGAAACAGAGAAAAAAACGUGUUAGAGAGAAAAUAUUCCAGUAGUUCUAAAAAGAAAAAAAAUGAGAUUUAGGGGUUUUAUUCUUGUAUAAAACAACACUAUUUUUUGGAUUCAUAAAAACCUAGGAUCUAUGCAUUUUACCACAUUCUAACCUAACCCACAGUGUGGCCCAUCCUUUAACCUGAAUUUCCUUUUUGCUCUGAGCCAAGCCAUGCCUUAGUUGAGUGUCGAGCCAUGUCGAUCCUUGUGCCUGCAGCCGCACUCUUUAGCCACUAAGCCAAGCCGACUUGAGGUAUUUUUUAUAUGCUUAUCUUAUUUAUUUGUUUUAUUUACUUAUUUAUUUAUUCAUUUAUUUAUCUACUUGUUUUUUAAAAUACUCUUACAAAAUCAUAUUUAAAUAAAAAAGUCUUACCAAUAAUUUGCAGAACCAAUAUUUUAUUUUCAAAAUAAAGUUUUACCAACAUAUUAGAAUGCUUUACAAAUUUUAAUUUUAAAAAAAUAAUUUUUAAAAAAAGCCUUACCAAUAUAUUAGAGUGCCGAUAUUUUAUUUUCAAAAAUAAGGUUUUAUCAACAUAUUGAAAAGCCUUAUAAUUUUUUUAUAAUUUUGAAUAAAAUAAAAUAAUAUUUCUUUUUUUUUUCAUAAAUUCUUAUAAAUAUAUUGGAGGAUAAUUUUUUAUAAAAAAUUUUAUCAACAUAUUGAAAGGUAUUCUGACCAUAGACUAGGUUUGUAGAAAUUUACUUCUACAAGCAAAAUUAAAUGAAUUUGAUGGCAAAACUUUUUUAAAGCGUGACAAAUAAUCUCCUUGAAUAUUUUUAAAGUGAGAAAAAAUUCUUAAAUUAUUACCAACAUAUUGGAGUAAUUUAAGGAAAAUUUCUAAUGUUAAAAUUAUUUGGUAAAAUUAUAAAUAUAUUUUAAAGCUUGGAUAACUUGGAAUCAAACUAAUAUCAUUUUUUGGAUGGGGGCUGUAAAGGUGUUAUAACCUUCCCCACGUGCAACUAUACUUUCAAACCUAAAAUUUGGUUUCAUAGACUAGAAUCUUCUAUUUAAAGAUACCUAAGUUAAUCUUGAGAUUUCUUUUUAAAUAAAAUAGAUUUAGUCAAAUGGCUAAUCACAUCUAAACAAAAAAAAAUUAGUGACAACUCUUUUAAUUUAUGUCUAGUGAUAGAUCCACAGAUUUAUUCGUUAUGACAAAACUCAAAUCUCAACAUUUACAACUAUUUUUCGUAUUCUCAAACAUUCUCCUUAAUUAAAACAAAUAGUCUGAAUAAAAAAUUAGGUAUGCUUAAUUUGUUUGAAUUGUUAAGUUACUUUGUUCUAAGUUUUAAAAUUUUUAACUUCUUUUCAUAUAUGUUCAAAUUUUAGGUUAUAUAAUCAGAGACAAGUAAUUUAUAUUCAUAUUUCAUAUAAAAAUUGUUUCUGAUUUAUAAGAUUUAAAUUUAAAUUAUAAUUUCAAAUUCUUUCUAAUAAUUAGAUCAUGUAAAAUCAAGAUAUAUUUAAAUUUAUACUUUAUUCUUAUUCUUAACCUCUUUAUUAUUAGAAUAAUUAAUCUAUAUAAGUAUAUACCAUAUAUAUUCAUAUCCAUAAUGUCUUUUAUGAAAAUGAAAAAAAUACUCAUCAAAGAAGAAUCAAAGCAUGUGCAAGGAAUAGUGAACCUUUGGAAUUUGCCUAGUACAAACAGUUAGAGAAGCAUUUCUAAAAUACAACAUGUAUAGGGUUUAAAAGAAUAAAACUUUGACAAAUAGGUUUGGUUUUUGUUUUAAUAAUUAUAUUUAUUUAUGUUGAAGUCAAGUACGUGUAAAAAGUGAGAUAUGUUAAUUUAAAAUUUAAUUCAGUUAAUUUAUAAAAUUAUUUUUAAAAAAUAGUAUUUGAUUGAAAUUUAAAUCUCAAUACUUGUAUUUUUUUUGUUUUAUUCCGAAUAACUUUUUUUAAAAAGAAAAAAUGAGUCAUGUGGAUUUUUUUUUUGUUGACCUUUUAUCAUUUGUUAAUCUACCUUUGGUCCAACUUUUCUACAGUAUACUAUUAAUUUAAUAACCAUCACUUCUUUGAAUAAUUUUAACCUUACAAUUAAAGAGGUAAAACUUUUCCAUUGAUAAGAACUUACUCAAGUAACUUCUUGGUCAAGAAAAUAGCUAUCUCCAUAUUGAAAUUUAAUCAUGAAAUUAAAUCAUUAAUCUUGCUACAUAAUUCAUCCAAUAUGAUUUAAUUUGAUUGGAACAUAUAUCUAAAUUUAAGUAUACAUGCAAAAAAAAAAGCAGAUGAUUCUUAAGUGAUGAAAAAACUUAUGUAAUUUGAAACUUAACUCUGUUAGUUUAUGCAUAUAGUUGUUUUUGGAGAUGAUAUUUAUUAAAUUUGAUAUUCAAAUUUUAACACUUUCUCUCAUUUCAAAGCUACGAUCCUCUUUUAUUACAAGAAAAAAAAACUAGAAAUAAUCUUUUAUUUGUAACUUUAAACCGGUGAAUUUAAAUUGCUAAGACUUUGAAGUCAUAUUUUCAUUGGCAAAGUUUAUUUACAUUUAUUUCAAAAGUAGAGAAAAAAAGGCCAUUUGGCCUAACAAUCAAUAUCCUUUUGAGCAACUUCGCAAUAGAUGAGCAUUGGCCUCCGAUCUGCCCAACAACUAAUCUACUGAGGAAUUGGCAGAGCUUGAGGCAAAGAUUGGUUUGAUGCUGAAAUCGUUUGUAGUUUGCAGUCAACAGAGAUCAAUUGAGCAGAGUUAUUAUUGUUUUCGUCAACAGAAUUCAUGUUGAUUAUUUGUAGCAAAACACGCUCGAGCUCUUCACCAUCACUCCAUUCAUGAAUCUCAGCCUUGACGGGCAUAGGAUUCCUGCAAAUUAAAUCACAGACUGGAAAAUUCUUCCUUGGCAUCAUGUACUCUGCUUCUCCAAGCCUUCGACUUGGACAAUAAUCUCCGGUACCAUCUCCUAGGUAGAUGAUUUUUUUCUUCCCCUCUAAAGAAUCUUGAAUCCUUUCAAUGAUUAUCCCCUGUUACACAAAGCAGAAGCCAAAAUUAAAAUUUUUGACAUCUUAUUUCAUGAUUUCAUUAAAUUUAUAUGAUUGUUGACCCAUGUCAAGAUCAUUGGUUUCGUUUAUGUCCUUAUAGGAGGCAUUACUUUAACAGAAUAAGUGGGGUCAAGAAAAGAAGUUAGACAUAUCGAAAAUGAGGAGAAAAGAAGUUAGACAUCUAAAAUGAGGAGAUUUAAAAAAUAAAGAAAUAAAGAAAAACUUCCAAGCUAGUUGGAUGAAAUUGACUAUGUACAUGUGGAAUACCAUCAAGUAAUAAAAUUUUCUAGAAUUUUUCACUUACAUGAAAAAUUUAGGUCUACAAAAGUUUGGUGUCUUGAUUUAAAAUAUUUACAAUUGUGAUAUUAAUGAAAUUAAAUCUCAUGUUACUGAUGAAAAAGAUCUGAUACGUUGCACAUAUUUGAAGGACAGAGGUUGCAGCCGUGGGAACUCUUUGUGAAAUCAUGGUAAGGGAUGAUCCUCAGCCUCCCUUCUUCAUCAACAAAGCUGGGGUUGGUGUUGAUCUCUGAGAAAUAUUCCCUCAAUCCAAGAUGUUCCAGAAUUGUCUCAAUAAAGAACAUGUUCGCAUCACUCACAAUCCUGAGUUCACACCUGAAAAAAUAUUCAAACCAAUUUGAUCACCUUAAAUUUCUAUUUCUUCAAACUUUAGUUUUAUAGUCACAGGUCAAACACCAAGAGGAGAAGCAUAGAAAAAAAGCAGUACCCUAAAGGAUGAGCUGAUUUAAUAGCGGGGACGAUCCUAGGAUGGAUAGGAGCUCGUUUCAGAACCUCAGCAGUGUCAUCAAUGGUUUUUCCCUGGGCAUGAAGCUCCUUCAUCAUCCUGUCCUGUAAUUUUAUACCACAAACACUGAGUUUCAAUUUUUAUAAAUGUAAAGCCAACAGAAAUAGAAAUUGCAGAGGGCUUAAUAUGGGUUACCAUGAGAGAAUUCCAGGGCAUGGUAGGAAGAAGCUGGUUGAACAAGUCGGUGAAACCCAAGUCAUCGACAACCCAGUUAUCACUAUCACAGUCGAUGAUGGUUUUGUCAAAAUCAAAAACCAGAACAAUUCCAGCCAUCUCUCUGAAUGAAAAUCAAACAAAACACAAAACAAGAAUGGAAAAACUCGACGACUCUUUGAAUGUUGUUUUCUUGGUAUAGAAUCACGUAACAGGGGAAGGGUAUUUAUAUGCAGAAAAAUGUUAUUAGGUUGAAACAACGGAUUUUUCUAUGCCAAAGGAAUAUUACGUGAAGGGGUUAUAAGGUGUAAGUAGGAAGCACCAAGCAGGCCACAAGAAGCUGUUUUCCCUGCAAGCUUCCUACGCAAAACAUACUAAUCUGAUACAACUGCUUGCAAAUUAUUUCUCUGGUAUAAGCAAUGUUAACCGUUUGAUGGAUUACUUUUGAACCAUGUGAUCAAUCAAGUUCAGUCGGCGGAUCAGGGGUAAAAGGGUGUCGGUUAAUUAUGAAAGGGUUUAGGUUUAAGGUUUAAGGUUUAUCAAACUCCUCUCCAUUGCUUCAUUCGCUUACUUGUGCCUUUCCUAGCCUCCUGUUUUUGCAAAUCAAAUCCCAAACUGGGAGAUACUUCCUUGUCAUUGCAUAGUCCCCAUCUCCCAGCUUCAAACUUGGACAGGAAUCGCCAAGCCCAUAGCCGAGGUAGAUUAUUGUUUUCUUCUCCUCCACGAGCAUGAGAGAGACUUGGAUCCUUUCAAUCACAAUACCCUAUUAAGAAAGAGUACAAUCAUUAAUCAAUAGGAUGGGAAGAAAAUGAAGAUAACUUAAAAAUAAUUAGUAGCAUAUAAUUAUAUAUCUUACAGCUAAUCAUGCUUUGGAUUCAUUACGUGUACUAAACAUUAGAAUUCAGUUGCGGAUGCAUACGGUAUAAUCGGGUAUUCAUGUACACCUCCACAGAUUCGAAAAUAAAAAGUGUUUUCUUUGGACGCCUUCAAAUUUUGUUUUGGAGACCUUCAAAAUUUUCUUUUUGAACAUAUCUUUCUUAAUUCCUUAUUCCUUAAUCCUUCACUUACUGCCACUAUCUAAUAUCCAAUCACAUCUCACAGCCAGUUAAUGCCCAACACCCAGUAAACAUCCACUAUAAUAAAUGGACACCUCCAUAAAAAUAUCUUGCAUCUGCUACUGUUAGAAUUCAGUCAUAUUUGAUGCAUGCAUGCAUGGUUCACGUUGUUAGUAACUAGUAUGAUUUUCAAGUUAAAAAUGACAUACCUUGCACAUGUUUGGAAGGCAGGGAUGAUGACAUCCAUGAGUAGAUUGAGUGUAAUCAUGGUGAGGCAAGAUCCUUAGCCUGCCUUCUUCAUUUACGAAACCUGGGUUGCUAUUGAUCUCCGGAAAGCAUUCCCUCAGGCCAUGAUGCUUCAAAAUUGUGUCGAUGAAGAACACCUUCGCGUCGCAUACAAUCUUCAAAUCACACCUAAAAUUAAUAGUGCCAUACGACUUUUUUUUUUUUUUUUUAUAGCGAGAAAACCAGAAAGAAAAAUUAAAUAUACAUGCCGGUAGGACUGAAGUUGGCAAGAAGGAAACUCCUAAAGCUAAGAAAUGUUGCCAGAGAGCUUAUUAAGUGUAUGGUCCUUUAAUUGCUUCUUGCGACAGAGGAAUAAUAUCCCAGGCUGCAAUCCCUGAGAAUGCAACUGUGGCAUCUGCUCUCUCAACAAACGAUUGGACUCAAUAUCUCACUGCUUCUCUACAGAUGAGGGAUAUGCAGCAGAUGUUGGCUGGUCUGACCUUCACUGAAGAAGAAGAUGUUGUUGGCUAGCAUCAAAGUCUGGCAAGUUCAUACUUUCAAAUACAUGGGACUGGAUCAGGGAUAGGCAACCCACUGUGGUUUCGCAUAAAUUGGUCUGGAUUCCUCUUCACUCCCUAAACAUAGUUUUAUCACUUGGCUUGAGGUUAUUAAUAGAUUGAGCACACUACCUAAUAUUAGGAGUUAGUGCACUCAAAUGUCAAAAAUCACUUGCUACUUUUGUGAUAAAGAGGAAGAGACUAAGAAUCAUCUUUUCUUUUCUUGUGACUUCUCAAAGCAAGUUUGGCAAUUAGUUUUAGCAGAAGUGAAGUGUGUUUUUGAUUGCAACAUCCAAAAGUGGCAGCAGGAGCUUGAUUGGAUUAUUCGGCAUACCAGAGGUAAAACUUUUAAGACUAUAAUUUUGAGAGGAGCGUGAACAACAAGUAUAAAUAUAUCACAUAUGCCAUGCGAGGAAUUCUCCAUAACUUGGCAUUUAUUCUCCAAACAUUGACAAAUACUUUCCCAGACAUUAGUUUUAACGUAAAGUCUUGCGUUUUAAAAUUUGUAAAAAAAUAUGAAUAAUCCAUCUACUAGCUCUGUAUGUAAAAAAUUGAAGGAUUGUAUAGGAAAUACUAAAGCUCUUUCUUUGAUUUGUGGACUGGUAGCCACCUACUUCUUUGGACCAAUGAAAUACCAUUUAUGAAUAAAAAAAAAACGAAAAUAUACACGAAGAGAGAGAAAAAUGUAUACAUAGCCUAAAGCAUGAGCGAUUUAAUGGCUUGGAUGAUUCGGGGAUGUAUAGGAGUUGUUUUAGAACAGCUAUAAUGUCAUCAAUUUUUGUUCCAUGUGAGUGAAGUUCUUUCAUUAUUAGAACCUGUUUUGUACAUAAAAAAAAAUUAAGCCCUGGUUCUUAAGUUUGGAAAAGAAGGAAAAAGAAAAACAAAUAAAUUAAAAGACUAACCAUAAAAGAGUUCCAAGUCAUGGCAGGGAGGAGUUGAUUGAACAACUAUGUAGCAGAUUUAUGAAACCUGGAAUUCAGGUUAAUUGAUUUAUAAAAUCAUCAUUGAGAGAUGAUAUCUAACUGAAACUCAAAUUUUAAUAUUUACAAUUAUUUUUUAUUUUUUCAAACGGUCUUCUUAAUAAAAAAAAAAACAAUCUAUAAUAAAAAAUUACACACCCUUAAUUUGUUUGAAUUAUCAAAUUAAUUUGUUCAAAGUUUUAAAAUUUAUAACCUUUUCUCUUAUACGAUCAAACUUUAUGUUAUAUAAUCAGAGACAAGUAAUUUAUAAUCAUAUUUCAUAUAAAAAUCAUUUUCAAUUUAUAAGAUUUAAAUUUAAAUUACAGUUUCAAAUUCUUUCUAAUAAUUAGAUCAUAUAAAAUCAAGAUAUAUUUAAAUUUAUGCUUUAUUCUGAUUCUUAACCUCUUUAUUAUUAGAAUAAUUAAUCUAUAUAAGUAUAUACCAUAAAUAUUCAUAUCCACAAUGACAUUUAUAAAAGUGAGAAAAAUUCUCAUCAAAGAAGAAUCAAAGCAUGUGCAAGGAAUAUUGAAUAUUGAACCUUUGGAAUUUGCCUAGUACAAUCAGAUAGAGAAGCAUUUUUAGAAAAGCUGUAUAACAUGUAUAGGGUUUAAAAGAAUAAAAUUUUUGACAUAUAGGUUCGGUUUUUGUUUUAAUAAUUAUACUUAUUUAUGCUGCAAUGUAGUACUUGCAAAAAAGAAAUUUAUUUUAAUUGAAUUAUAAAUUUAUUUUUAAAAAUAACUUCCUUAAGUAACUUUUUAAGGAACUUCCUUAAGUAACUUCUUGGUCAUGGGAAUAGCAAUCUCCGUACUGAAAUGUUAAUCAUGAAAUUAAAUCAUUAAUCUUAUUGCAUAAUUCAUCCAAUAUGAACUAAUUUGAUUGGAACAUAUAUCUAAAUUUAAGUCUACGUGCAAAAAGAAUGGGCAGAUGAUUUUUAAGUGAUGAAAAAAAAUUAAAAAUAAUCUUGUAAUUUGAAACUUAAUUAUGUUAAUUCAUGCAUAUAAUUAUAUUUAAAAAAUAAUACUUAAUUAAUUUAAAAUUUAAAACACAACACCUUCUCCUAUUCCAAAGUUACUAGCACUUUUGUAAAAAAAAAAAAAUAAUAAUAAUAGUCUGUACCCCGUAACUCUAAACUGGUAAAUUUAAUUUGAUAAGAUUUUGCAGUCAUAUUUUCAUUGAAAAUGUUUAUUUACAUUUAUUUCAGAAAUAGAGGAAAAAAAAAGGCCAUUUGGCCUAACAAUCAAUAUCCUUUUGAGCAACUUCGCAUUAGAUGAGCAUUGGCCUCCGAUCUGCCCAACAUCUAAUCUACUAAGGAACUGACAGAGCUUGAGGCAAAGCUUGGUUUGAUGCUGAAAUCGUUUGCAGUCUGCAGUCAACAGAGAUUAAUUGAGCAGAGUUAUCAUUGUUUUCCUCAACAGAAAUCAUGUUGAUUAUUUGUAGCAAAACACGCUCGAGCUCUUCACCAUCACUCCAUUCACGAAUCUCAGCCUUGAUGAGCAAAGGGUUCCUGCAAAUUAAAUCCCAGACUGGAAAAUUCUUCCUUGGCAUCAUAUAGUCUGCUUCUUCAAGCCUUAGACUUGGCCAGUAAUCACCGGCACCAUCUCCAAGGUAGAUGAUUUUUUUUCUUCCCCUCUAAAGAAGCUUGUAUCCUUUCAAUGAUCAUCCCCUGUUACAGAAAGCUGAAGCCAAAAUUAAAAUUGUUGACAUCUUAUUUCAUGAUUGUCAUUAAAUUUAUAUGAUUUGACCCAUGUCAAGAUCUUGUGUUUGUUUACGACCUUAUAUGAGCCAUUACUUUAAUAGAUUAAGUGGGGUCAAGAAAAGAAGUUGAAAUAUCUAAAAUGAAAAUAGAUUUAAAAAAUAAAGAAAUAAAUAAAAACUCCAAGCUAGUUGGACGAAUUUGACUCUGUACACGUGGAAUACCAUCAAGUAAUAAAAUUUUCUAGAAAUUUUCACUUAAUAUGAAAAAUCUAGGUCCUCCUACAAAAGUUUGUUGUCUUGAUUUAAAAUAUUUACAAUUGUGAUAUUAAUGAAAUUAAAUCUCAUGUUAGUGAUGAAAAACAUAUAAU
rnacentral:lncRNA from 1 species